UGUUAGGGCCUGACUUUUUGUCAUCGGGCGUGGCACGGCUGUGGCAAGGAUUUGGGCGUGAUGGCCUUGUCAUUGGCCCAUGUGCGGGCAAAACGAUCAUGCGGAAGACGGACAAGACAUUGUCAUUGAGGGCUGUUGUAGGCAAGUAUGGGCCAAGACCUUGGGACAGGCAAGGUGCGCUUGGCAAAGGCUUGACAAAGCUGUGUGGGCAAUGUUAGGGCGGCAUGGCACGGCAUGCGCGCCAAAGUCAGGGGCAUGACACUUUGGGUUGUGGCAGCUAAGUGCGGGCUAAGCUAAGACAAGACGGAAAUGCGAGAUGAUGGAAAAGGCUUUCAAUAGCUAAGGCAAAGUUAUGUGAUGGAAAAUACAAGCAAUGGCACGAGGGAAAUGAAGGUUGACAUGAGCAAGGCAGAUUUGGGCCAAGACAGUGUGCGGGCGGCAGCUGCGUCGGGCAUGUGCGGCAAAAUCACAGGCAGCGGAUGCGGGCAAGGCAUUGGCGCGAAAGCAAUGUCAAGAUGUGCCAAGGUUGGGCACAAUGCCAGCCUUGGGCACGAAUCAGCUGGCCAAGUGAAGAAUGGCACAUGCAAUGCACAUGGAAAGUAGUUGGCGGUUACCUUGUCAUAACCUCUUUGUCCCAUGAUCUGAUCAUGCUUGUAUAAUGUCCCCAUUUCGUGUAUAAUGUGUCCUAAGUAGUUGGGGAUGUCAACUACAUGUUAGGAGCAGAAUUAGUCUUAGUCCGACAAGUGGCAAAAGCUGUAGACAACAAGUGUCAUGUGCUGCCAAGUCUAAGGGCUGCCUAUAUUCUAUAAAUAGGACCUUUGUGACUUAGGCAGAAAAAAGGAGUGAAUGUGGGGAAUUUCGUGAGAAAUUCUAAGUGGGAAACAAGAGUGAAACGUGAGGGUUUCAGUUGUUUCAAAAAGGGGCUAAGGUUUGGCUUAGGNNNNNNNNNNNNNNNNNNNNNNNNNNNNNNNNNNNNNNNNNNNNNNNNNNNNNNNNNNNNNNNNNNNNNNNNNNNNNNNNNNNNNNNNNNNNNNNNNNNNNNNNNNNNNNNNNNNNNNNNNNNNNNNNNNNNNNNNNNNNNNNNNNNNNNNNNNNNNNNNNNNNNNNNNNNNNNNNNNNNNNNNNNNNNNNNNNNNNNNNNNNNNNNNNNNNNNNNNNNNNNNNNNNNNNNNNNNNNNNNNNNNNNNNNNNNNNNNNNNNNNNNNNNNNNNNNNNNNNNNNNNNNNNNNNNNNNNNNNNNNUUGAAGCAAAUGGCGAUUCUUCUGUUCUUGCAAGAAUGGCAAGGUUAGAGGCAGAUUAUGCAGCGAGACAUGAAACAACGCUGGCAGAAAUGGCCUUGGUACGCCAAGAGAAGGAAGAACUGCGCGAGGAAGUGGUUCAACUUCGGAGGGAAUUGCAAACUGUUGUCCCUAGAAGUGAUGAACGCACUAAGUUGAGGAUUCCGGAGCCAAAGGCAUAUGGGGGUGCAAGAAGUGCCAAAGAACUGGAAAAUUUCUUGUGGGAUAUGGAGCAGUAUUUCCAGGCUGCACGUGUUGCGGAUGAAGACAAGGUGAUAAUUACACCAAUGUAUUUGACUGGUGAUGCAAAGGUGUGGUGGCGCACACGAAUGGCAGAAACGGAAAGUGCUGGACUGCCCAAGAUUGGAACUUGGGAGAUGCUGAAGAAGGAAUUAAAAUCCCAAUUCCUUCCAACUAAUUCGUCGUGGUUGGCACGAGAUGGACUUCGUCGCUUGAAGCAAAGUGGUACAGUGGCGAAGUAUGUCAAGGAAUUUUCAUCCUUGAUGCUCAAUGUAAGUAAUAUGGUAGAGGAAGAUAAGCUGCAUUACUUCAUGAGCGGGUUGAAGGGUUGGGCGCAAUUGGAGUUGAGAAGGCAGAAUCUUCAAUGCCUUUCUACUUCCAUUGCGGCGGCAGAUGCGUUGGCUGACCUAAAUAUAGGUGAUGACCCUGCUGGAACUUCGCAUUCAAAGGCUGACGGGAAAGCUAAGGAAUGGAAGAAAAGAGGGAAGGGGCAAGCUGCCGAAGAAGAGGGCUUUGCCAAGAAUGUGAGACAAGAGAAUCACAACGGCAAAGAAAGGAGCGGCAAGUUCAAAGGCUGCUUCACUUGUGGUGGACCGCACUUGAAAAAGGACUGUCCGGUGCAGGCUAGGGUGAAUGCUAUGCUGGCUGCAGAGAAACAGGAACAAGUGGCGGAAGCAAAUGCCAUUGUGGCAAGUGGGAAUGAAGCACCAGGGGCGGUGUAUGUUAACAACCCCUUGGGGCUGCUUCAUUAAGUCGGCUCGACGAGGACGUCGAUUUCAAAAGGUGCGGGUGGUUUGUUAGGGCCUGACUUUUUGUCAUCGGGCGUGGCACGGUUGUGGCAAGGAUUUGGGCGUGAUGGCCUUGUCAUUGGCCCAUGUGCGGGCAAAACGAUCAUGCGGAAGACGGACAAGACAUUGUCAUUGAGGGCUGUUGUAGGCAAGUAUGGGCCAAGACCUUGGGACAGGCAAGGUGCGCUUGGCAAAGGCUUGACAAAGCUGUGUGGGCAAUGUUAGGGCGGCAUGGCACGGUAUGCGCGCCAAAGUCAGGGGCAUGGCACUUUGGGUUGUGGCAGCUAAGUGCGGGCUAAGCUAAGACAAGACGGAAAUGCGGGAUGAUGGAAAAGGCUUUCAAUAGCUAAGGCAAAGCUAUGUGAAGGAAAAUACAAGCAAUGGCACGAGGGAAAUGAAGGUUGACAUGAGCAAGGCAGAUUUGGGCCAAGACAGUGUGCGGGCGGCAGCGGCGUCGGGCAUGUGCGGCAAAAUCACAGGCAGCGGAUGCGGGCAACGCAUUGGCGCGGAAGCAAUGUCAAGAUGUGCCAAGGUUGGGCACAAUGCCAGCCUUAGGCACGAAUCAGCUGGCCAAGUGAAGAAUGGCACAUGCAAUGCACAUGGAAAGUAGUUGGCGGUUACCUUGUCAUAACCUCUUUGUCCCAUGAUCUGAUCAUGCUUGUAUAAUGUCCCCAUUUCGUGUAUAAUGUGUCCUAAGUAGUUGGGGAUGUCAACUACAUGUUAGGAGCAGAAUUAGUCUUAGUCCGACAAGUGGCAAAAGCUGUAGACAACAAGUGUCAUGUGCUGCCAAGUCUAAGGGCUGCCUAUAUUCUAUAAAUAGGACCUUUGUGACUUAGGCAGAAAAAAGGAGUGAAUGUGGGGAAUUUCGUGAGAAAUUCUAAGUGGGAAACAAGAGUGAAACGUGAGGGUUUCAGUUGUUUCAAAAAGGGGCUAAGGUUUGGCUUGGGCAGAUCUUAGUGUUGACAAGAACGACUUGUGUUCUAUGUCAAAAAGUGGGCUGUGAGCGGACUGUGUUCAUAGCAAAGUGAGGGUCCUUUGUAUAUUUUCCACAUUAAUGCAAAGGUUGGGAUUUUUCCGUAUAUGUGUGUGUUCUUAUUGAAUUGCUGUCUAAAUUUCGUUUAAGGCCAAACUUGCCGAAAAUUGGCUAAGUAUUUUGGGAAAAGGCUGAGUCAAGUGUACGACUUGACUGCCGCGCGAGUGUGAGUUUUGACUGACUAAACUCGCCCCCGUGACACCAAUCCUACGACAAUUCCAAAUUAUUGAACUCAUUGGUCCUGGCGGGCCUGGGAACCAGGACCCGCCUCGAAUCCGUUUUUUGGAUUCUCGUAUAUUACCAUCGCACCCUUUCUUUCUAAUUUUCUCUUUUUAUCCAUUGGACAGACUGUACCAUCCUUCACACAUAUUGCCUUUCCAUUCCUAAUCUCCGUUACCCUAACCAACCCAAGAUUUUCACUCUCCAUUUUCACAAAUUGUACCCUCUCUUUUUUAGACCCCAUCCCCACAUUUUCCGUCAUUUGUUCCCCCACGUUACCAUUCCCUACACCCUCUUUUCUAAAAUUUGCGAAAUUCCCUCCCCUAUUUUUUAGGACAGGAUCACUCCCUUCCCCAUUCUCGCUCCCUGAUUUUCUCUCUCCCUCGAUGAAAUCGGGGUUUCCUUAUCCAUCAUGUUUCUCUCCUCCGCCCAAUUCUAUGGCUUCAACCACUAUGCUCCAGCCAUGACCACCGACCUCCUCUCUGCUCGUAGCCAAGGACCAUAUGCAAAUGGUUCAGUAGUCUGUCCACGAUUUUGCCAUAGUUUACGGAAAAACUUAUCAGUAUGUCCGAGAAUACCAUAGUAAAAGCAGAAGAUUCCUAGUUGUUCAUACUGAAUGAGACUUGUAUACAGGAACCCCUAGGUCGACGGAUAUUCAUUGUCUUUUUCAGAAGGUUUCGGACGUCAAUUUGAACCCUAACGCGCAUGUAGUCUCUGCAAAUGGAAUCGUGAUUUUUUGGGUCAGCAUACUGGAAUUCCCCGAGUGUAUUGCCAAUAUCCUUAACCACUCUCUCUGAUCGGAGAGCGCCCACCAGAUCAUGUAUUUGGAUCCAGAUUUCUAGUUUUGUGAAAUUAAACAUAUCUUGGGUUUUGUCCUGGCGGAAGGGGCUUCAUAAUGAUCGGGCAUUGUUCAAAGUUCCAUGGUCUGUCUUUUAGAGUCCUAGUAUAGUCCAUUUCAUCGAAGAAUUGGAAAGCAAAAGCAUUGUUACCUAGUUCUUUCACCACCAUACAUUCCAUUGGCCGGAUAGCCUUUGCCAAUGCAUCCUUAGAGAACUUAGGAUUUAUGACCUAGCGGUAAGCACCAGGGCUACAAUACACCAUUGCGUGGUAUCGUCAUGCAAGCUCUGGCUGGCUAGGUCUGCAUCGUCUCCAUAGUCUAAAUCAAUUUUUGAGUCGCCGAGAUUUAAGCUGGACAUUUCCUCCCACGGAGGGCUACCGCCAGUGGGGCGUGUAGAAGCCAUAGUCGCCAAUAGCGGAUGUAGAAAGCGAGAACUCUAGUUACUAAAGAAAACUUGUUAUGAAAACAAGAGGACUGCUCUCAUACAGAGAGAGUUUAGAUGUUUGUACUUUAGAAGAAGUGUUUAUUUUGUGUUUAGAUAGACUUCUCAAAUAACUGAAGGAGAAAAAAACAGAUAAAUUGCUGCAUUAUUCUUAUACUAUUACUUAGAGAAAUUAAACAAAUUAGAAUAGAAUUGGACAAGGCUUAAAUUUGUGCCUUGUCACCAGCCACCAGGUCCACCAUACAAAACCAUAUGUUUCCAAUCACCCCCAACAUUUUCAACAUCUACGGCGUUGUAUACAUUAGGACUAUCUACAUGUGUUGUCAAUUUACCUAUGUCUAUAUUUUAGCCUUUAUCGUUUAAAAUUGUAAUAUUUCUGCAAUAUCCAUCACGCGUAGUGUUUCCUAUACAUGGGCGGUUCAAGUAUUCCAGGUGGACUAUAUACCACUCCGCCAAAUUCAAUUCUUGUUGCAAAAUACGUAAAAUCAUCAAACACCACUUGAGGCCAAAAACCAAUUGGUGUAUGAGUGUUUGUAAUAAAUAACCACCAAUUUCCAUUGUUUAAGUCCUGUUUUCAAUAGAAAAAAAAAUGGUUAAUAAAUAAAAAAUUUCUGUUGUAUUUGUGCUUCUCUACUUGAAGGUACAACAUAAGGAAAAAAAAGUUACCCAAUUUAAGUAAAAACCCAGGUCAUAUGUCUUCACUCCAGGUUGUGAAACGGGAGAAAUUAUUGAAUCUACCGCUAUUUCUGUAUUUAUAAGUACAAAAGCAGGGCAUAACAAAUUGAAACAAGAAUUUGUAACAUCCUGAAAAAAAAAAUGAAAAUCUACAUUUAAGGGACCAAAAAACUUAUAAUAUAGUAUAUAUAAGAAGCUAACUGAUCUUACUAGUAAUUGGAGACUUACGUCGAAAUGUAUGUAUAACCUAGUAUUAUUGUCGCCGUACAGAGUAGGGUCAACCUGAAGCAAAGAAAAAGGAUAGAUAUGUGAGAAUUGAGUUGUAAUUAACUCACUUUUCGAGUUAUUACCUUGUAAUUUACAAGUAUACGGUUCAACAAUAACGACCGAGUAAAAUCUCACAAGUGGGGUUUGGGAAGGGUAGUGUCUACACAGACCUUACCCUACCCCGAUGGAGUAGAGAGGCCGUUUUCGAUAGACCUCGGCUUAAGAAGAUGGAAAAGACGAGAAGAGACAAUAUAUCAGUACCAUCAACAAAAAUCAUACUAAUAAUAACAACAUCACAAUAAAAUAGAUGAAAUGUAAUAACAAUAACCAUUAAAUAAGGCUCAGUGUUUUGAAAAAUUGAAGGAUAGUGUGAAUACAACAUUAACCAGGAGCCAUCUAAGACCAACCAUAUCAAACUAGCCUCACCCCCAGUACGAAAGUAGAAAAAUGUUCGACUACCUCCUAGCCUACCACUGUACCAGAAGUAUACAAUUCAUAUUUCUUAAUUCUUUUUGAAGGUGAUUGAGGCCAGAGGCGGAGCCAUGAUUCCAAUUUUAUGGGUUCGGAAUUUUAGUCGUCUUAAGUUACUGGGUUCUAAUUAAUAAUUUAUACAUAUUCAAUAAAAAUUUUAAGAUAAAUAUAGGGUUCAAAUAAAAGCUACUGGGUUCGGCCGAACCCACUCUCGACACUCUAGCUCCGUCUCUAAUUGAGGCAUCAUAUGAAUUAAUGUUUAGUGCGCGUCAAUAGCGCAGUCACGCUCAGGCCGCACUCGUCAGGCAGAACACUGGGCAAUAUGCGCGGCCGCGCUAGUCAAAUCCGGAAAAAGUAUUUUUUUCGUCUAAGAGAAGGUAUAAUUAUUUGGGCCCAACCCUACUUGGUAUAUAUACAUGAAAAAAAUGGUAUUUUGAGGAGGUUGGACAUACUUUUGACACAUAUUCGACCUAAGGAGACAGAGACACAAUAGAAGCAAGGCGGGGAAUUCUUUUAUGAGUUUUUUCUUCCUCUUCCUAUUUUUCAUUGUUGGUUAUGAUUUUUAGUAUUUUAGUUUUACAUACUAUUAUGAAUAGCUAAUUUGUUAUCUAGGGUUUUGAUGGAACCUUUUUUGUAGGAUGAAUUAUUGUUAUGUUUUUAUAUAAUUGAGCCGUAAUAUUUUCUUUAUUUGUUCAACUAUAUUAUUCUUGUGGUUGAUUGAAAGGCCCUCAAUUAAUUGUACCUAUUUAAUAUGUAUUACUCGGGAGAGAGUGCAUAUUUAGGUAGUUGUUGAACAACAUCACUCCUGACGUAUGUGAGGAAUCAAUAACCUAUGGUUUAAAGGUGGGAUUAGGGAUAACGAAACCUUGGGUGCGAUCUAAGUGAGAUAUAAAUUAAAGCCAGCUAGCGUAACUCGGGAGAGUAUCUAGUAAAUUAUCGUAAUUACUCGGAAGAGAAUUACAAUACGCAGAGCGCUCAUGAUCGCUAGAGAAUACUUAGGCGAAAUUAUAGAAGAUAUAGCGGGAAGGAUUCCGACGAUUGGGGAAAUCAUAAAUCUAGAUCUCUUUAAUCUUUUCUCCAACCUGUAGUAUCUUUAGUGUUAAUUUAUUAUUUUAAUUUAUUAGUUAGUUAGUUAAACACAAGAAUCUUAAUAUCUAUAAGUUAGGAAUUGUUCAAGUUUGUAUUCUUGGUGAUAGUGAACAACUGUAGCUAAGCCUUAUUUCUCUGUGGGAUUCGACUCCAGACUUGUAAACCGGAUUAUAUUUGUAACGACUGCUUAGUCUUUUUUAUAAGGCAUAGUUGGGCGUUACCAGGCAAGUUAAAUUUCUUAACACACACAAGGCCCGAUAUCAGUUUUGCAUGUCAACAUCUUAGCCAGUUCUUGUAAACUCCUUGUGUUCCUCAUAUGCAAGCUGUUUUACAUCUCUUGAGGUAUUUGAAAAGGACUUCUGACUUUGGGCUAUUCUUCCGUAAUUCUUCUGACCUUUCUUUAAAAGUAUAUUGUGGUAGUGAUUGGGCUUCUUGUGCUGAUAAUAGAAGAUCUGCAACUGGUUUUUGUGUUUUUCUUGGUGAUUGUUUGGUGAGCAGGAAAUCCAAGAAGCAACUUGUGAUCUCUCUUUCUUCUGCUGAAGCUGAGUACAUGGCCAUGAGUAAAGCUACAAUUGAGGUUACUUGGCUUUCAAAAUUGUUUUAUGAUUUUGGUCUUCCUUCUUCUUCUCCCCAUCCUUUGUAUUGUGACAACUAUGCAGCUUUGCACAUUGCCCACAAUCCAGUUUUUUCAUGAGCGGACUAAGCAUAUAGAGCUGGAUUGUCAUUUCGUCAGAGGCAAGAUUGGUGAUGGGCAAAUUAGCUUGGGUCAUGUAUCUAGUGAUGCUAAAGUUGCUGAUAUUCUUACCAAGCCCUUCCUGGACCUGCUCAUCAUUUUCAACCUCCAACUUGAGGGGAGGCUAUUAGAGUAUUAGAUAAUGACUGAUGCUAUCUUUAGGCUAUUGUUAUAAUUUAGAAUUGGCCCAUAUUGUAUUGCUUUGUAAUUGGGUCACCGGUCAAGACCCUAUUUAUAAGUUCCCUUCUCAUUCUUGUAAAGACAUAUUUUCAUUUUUUACUCAAUAGAAAAUAUCUGUUUUUCUCAGGUCAUGAACCGUAUCUUAAAUUUUGUCAUUUCCUCUUUAAAUCUCUGUACUAAACAGACAUCACCUAAAAUGAGGAUUUCUUCAAGAUUUGAGGUGCGAUUAGUUCUAAUCAUACAAUUUAAUUUGUUUAAGUUUGAGGUGAUGGAAUCGCGAUAUAGUGGAAUCUUAGAUAGACUUCUCAAAUAACAGAAGGAAAAAAACAGAUAAAUUGGUGCAUUAUUCUUAUACUAUUACUUAGAGAAAUUAAACAAAUUAUAAUAGAAUUGGACAAGGCUUAAAUUUGUGUCUUGUCACCAGCCACCAGGUCCACCAUACAAAACCAUAUGUUUCCAAUCACCCCCAGCAUUUUCAACAUCUACGGCGUUGUAUAAAUUAGGACUAUCUACAUGUGUUGUCAAUUUACCUAUGUCUAUAUUUUCGUCUUUAUCGCUUAAAAUUGUAAUAUUUCUACAAUAUCCAUCACGCGUAGUGUUUCCUACAGGGAAAGAGCCUGAACCCAUGGGCGGUUCAAGUAUUCCAGGUGGACUAUAUACCACUCCGCCAAAUUCAACUCUUGUUGCAAAAUACACAAAAUCAUCAAACACCUCUUGAGGCCAAAAACCAAUUGGUGUAUGAGUGUUUGUAAUAAAAAACCACCAAUUUCCAUUGUUUAGGUCCUGUUUUCAAUAGAAAACAAAAUGGUUAAUAAAUAAAGUUAUUUGUGCUUGAAGGUACAACAUAUAUAUGGAAAAUAAAGUUACCCAAUUUAAGUAAAAAGCCAGGUCAUAUGUCUUCACUCCAGGUUGUGAAACGGGAGAAAUUACUGAAUCUACCGCUAUUUCUGUAUUUAUAAGUACAAAAGCAGGACAUAACAAAUUGAAACAAGAAUUUGUACCAUCCUGAAAAAAAAAAUGAAAAUCAACAUUUAAGGGACCAAAAAACUUAUAAUAUAAGAAGCUAACUGAUCUUACUAGUAAUGGGAGACUUACGUCGAAAUGUAUGUAUAACCUAGUAUUAUUGUCGCCAUAAAGAGUAGGGUCAACCUGAAGCAAAGAAAAAGGAUAGAUAUGUGAGAAUUGAGUUGUAAUUAACUCACUUUUCGAGUUAUUACCUUGUAUUUUACAAGUAUAAGGUUAAACAACAACGACCCAGUAAAAUCUCACAAGUGGGGUUUGGGAAGGGUAGUGAGUACACACAGAGGCGGAGGUAGCUCUUCGGCUGCGGGUUCGGCCGAACCCAGUAAUUUUGAUCCAAAUCUUAUAUUUAUCUUAAAAAUUCGUUGAAUAUGUAAAAAAUAUUAAGUUAGAACCCAGUAACUUCAACAAACUAGAAUCCUCAACCCAUAAGAAUCAAGUCCCGGCUCCGCCUCUGUGUACACAAACCUUACCCUACCCUGAUGGAGUAGAGAGGCCGUUUUCGAUAGACCUCGGCUUAAGAAGAUGGAAAAGAUGAGAAGAGACAAUAUAUCAGUACCAUCAACAAAAAUAAUAGCAAUAAUAACAACAUCACAAUAAAAUAGAUGAAACGUAAUAACAAUAACCAGUAAAUAAGGCUCGGUGUUAUGAAAAAUUGAAGGAUAGUGUGAAUACAACAUUAACUAGGAGCCGUCUAAGACCAACCAUAUCAAACUAGCCUCACCCCCAGUACGAAAGUAGAAAAAUGUUCGACUACCUCCUAGCCUACCACUGUACCACAAGUAUACAGUUCAUAUUUCUUAAUUCUUUUUGAAGGUGAUUGAGGCCAGAGGCGGAGCCAGGAUUCCAAUUUUAUGGGUUCGGAAUUUUAGUCGUCUUAAGUUACUAGGUUCUAAAUUAAUAAUUUAUACAUAUUCAAUAAAAAUUUUAAGAUAAAUAUAGAGUUCAAAUAAAAGCUACUGGGUUCGGCCGAACCCACUCUCGACACUCUGGCUCCGCCUCUAAUUGAGGCAUCAUAUGAAUUAAUGUUAAAUUUAUCAAAUAAAAUACAUGAAAAUAUGUUUAUGUUUACAGGAUAAGAUGUACAUAAUUGAUUUGACUUACUCUCCAACCAGCUUGUAGAAUAUUUGACCCUUUAAUAAUUUUUAAUCGACAUGCACUAUGUUGUUGACCUUCGACAUGAGGAUUAUAUACGGCUGCUGCCAUGGAAGCUCCUCCAAAUUUGUUGUUUGGAUUAUCGUCAUCAGUAUGAACAGUCGCAAUCUGAAGAGAAUAAACAACAAUAUGAUUUAGAAAAUUCCACAUAGACAUGAGAUAUCCAUCUCAAAACUAAAAUACAAAAACAAUAAAAUAAAACAAAAUAAUUUAAUCUGAAUAAGUAUGAUUACGUACCUUGUACCCUUGCAAAGGUUUGUAUCUUCUUCUUUUUGAAUCAAUGGAGUUUUCCCUCUGUGCACAAGUAAAUUAAUAUUAUACAAGAUGUUAUAUUAGAAAUUUAAAUUUAAUUUAGUGCGUGAUAGGCGCAACGAAUCUUUCAUGUUUAUAAGUUAUAAAUUAUCAAUGACAAUCAGAGGCAAGUCUAGGAUUCGGACUGUACGAUCAUGGCCUACAUCCGCCAUGAAAUAUUGAAAAUAACAUAAUCUUACAUGAGUAAGUGGACUGUCGACCAUGACAUUUUCUGCUGGUGGCAUAAGUUUAUGUCUAAUAAGAUCUUCUUUGGUUGUUCUUCUUAUUGGAACAGUUCCAACAGGACAACCUCCGUCUGGUAAUUCUAUUCCUGACAGCUUAUUACUUGUUGACAUAGUUGAAUCGCUCUCUUUCACAAACAAAGAUGGUUUCAUCUGCUCAUCCAAAAUUUCUUUUUAUAAUUCAUCACUUAUUUUCAGAAUUAAAAACAAAAAUUGAUUGCAGGAGUAUAUAGUGGAGGUAAACCUGAGGAUGGUAAUUGUGAUUUUUCAGUAAUAGAUGAUCAAAUGCAGGUUGUUUGUAGAAGUCCACACAAUCAUAUAUAUCUCCAAAUUUAGUCUGUUGAUGAAAAAAUCGAAAUAUAAAUGAUUUACAUUAUACCAAAGAAGCAAAGAGUAUAACUAGCAGUGUAAACAUACAAAGUGGGCUUACGGUAUGAAUUUAAAGUUAAUGAAAAGGUCAUUUGAGAAAACGAAACAAUUAUCUCCAAGUAAGUUAGGUUAAUGGUAACAGAGAUAUCAGAAAUUCAAAAAGAACGAGAAAACUUAAACAAAAAAUAAAAAGAAAAGGAAAGAAUACGCCACAAAAUACAAAGAUAGUCACAAAAAAUAAGCUAUUGAAACACGUACCUUAAUCGUUUUAAUUGCAGGUUUAUUUAGAAGUUUCAGGCGCUUCUCCAACUCUAACUUGUCUUGAUUGGGUAACUUUCUUCCUCGAACCCCGUCAUAGCUCGAGCAUAGAUAGAGCAUAAACAAAAAUUGUUCUAUAAUUUUUCGAUUCAUUAUCAUUUUCUACAUCAUAAAAAAGAAGGUUCGCUGUUAAAUGUGUAUAUGAAGGAUAUGAUUUCUUUCAUAUACAUAAAUUGCUAAAUGAAUAAAAACUUUAAGGGCAUUCUCUAGCUAGUAUGAACGCCAAUACGUGGGUAGUGAAGAGUGUAGAAAAUAAGAAAAAAAGAAAAAGAACAUCUUAUAUAGAACCCAAUCAUUCAUAAAAUUUCAUAUAUAUCAAACUAAAUUAGUAAAUUAAAAUUAAAAUAGUAUGAAAAAAGACUACCACUUACUUGAUUCACCAAUAUUCUUGAGGUUGAAUAUUUCUAGCUACUAUCACGAAAAUUUUAUACUUAUUGGGAUUUGAAGUGUUUUCAAUUAUUAAACAAAUUAAUCGAGAUUAAGUAAUAUUAAUAUAUAGAGAAGAUUUGACGUGUAGAGGUAUUAAAUUAAGAUUGCCUAAUACUUGUAUGUUCUUAUACUCUUACCUUUUGUGGAGGGAAAAGUGUGAACAAAUGCAAUGAGGUUAAUUACCACAAGGAGAUUAUUUAACUAAAAUGAAAAAAUAUUUCCAUUUUUGAAGAUUUAUUUCUUUAUUGAAUGGAUAUUGAUUGACCUCUAGAAAAGAAAAGUUCAUGAAGCCAAUUUUAGAAACUCAUCAAUGAGUUUUUCGAAUAUCAAGACACUAGUGUCAUGGAGCUGGAAACUUUUAAAUGUUACUCCCUCCAGUUUCAAUAAUUGUCCAAUUUGUUUUUUUAUUUUGGUUCAAAAUAAGUGUCCAAUUAUGUAAUCAAGAAAAAAAUUAAUUUAUUUUUACAAAAUAACCCCUAUGUACAUCCCUAAAAAAAAUUCUUACUCGUCACAUUAAAUGUUUAAUUAGGGGUAGAUUAGUUAUAGUAGGUAUUUUUCUAUAGAAUUUAGUAUUUUCUUAAUGGGCUUGCUAAAAGCAAAUUGAACACUUAUUGUGAACCGGAGGGAGUAGUAAUUAGUUAAAUCGGAAAAAGGGCCUAAAAUUCCCUUUUACUAUAUGAAAUAGGACAUCAAAGCCCUCCGUUAAAAGUUGGCCCCUUAAAUGCCCUUGCCGUCUAAAAAUUGGCUAAAAAAUGCCCUUCUCCACUAACGGAAGACAUGCAAAUCCACGUGGAAUUACAUUUGCCUAUUUAAAAACAUAGAAGGACAUUUUAGACCCUUUUCGGAUUGUACAAGGUCAUAUAUGAAUCAGUUAUAGUAGUCAAUUCUCAAGCACUUCACACCAUAUCAGUUUACUCACACACCUAUUUGAGAUCAACAACGCUAUAAUUAUCACAGCAAAUAAUUCAAUCACAGACACAAACUAAUUAUCACAGCAAGUAACUCAAUAAUAUACAAAAACAUUCAAAUGAAUGGAAAUGGCUUCAUUGAAUCUUUGCACAAAAACAUAAAUUUUCAUUACAUACAACAAUUAAGCCACAAUAACACUACCAUUGCAUAUCAUUUCCCCUUAAUGCAAAGAACAUAACAAAACAUCCCAAUAUCACACAAAAGAAAAUCCACGUCUUCUUCCGACAUUUAGCAUCACGCAGAGCUGAGUACUCUAAAUCAACCACUUUCUUCAUUAGAACAUUUCUUACCAAUUCCAAGGAUUCUAUUCCACCAUGAUCGACGAGCAUCAUAACAUUCUCAAGAUCGGCAACUUUUCUUUGGAGUACAUUUCUUUCACAGAUUAGAGCUUCCUUCUUCUUCUUUAAGCUGCACAUAAGAUUUGAAAUUCUAGGAGGAACCUCCUCAUCUUGCCAUUCCCAAUAGGAAUAUUUUUCAUCCUAAAACCAAAAAAAAAAAGAAAUUACAGUCAAAUCGACAAAUUUACAUACCUCAUGCUUAGGGCACUUGAAAAAUCUUCUCCCAGCAUUUAAAGGAGUCCACACCAUGAAAUAAUUAGCAGCAAGUCCACAACGACACCUCCAAAUCGACCUAUUUAAGCUACUCGAACUUUGCGACAUUGUCUUAGAGAAAUCUCCAAAACAAACUGAUAAAGAUGAAAAAUAAUUAAACCUAAACUAGAACCCAACUCGAAAUCGACAAGGUGACCCAAUUAGUAGGAGAUAUCAGAUAUCAAUGAAGGGUCUAAAAUAGGUGUGUGAGUAAACUGAUAUGGUGUGAAGUGCUUGAGAAUUGACUGCUAUAACUGACUCGUAUAUGACCUUGUACAAUCCAAAAAGGGUCUAAAAUGUCCUUCUACGUUUUAAAAUAGACAAAUGUAAUUCCACGUGGAUUUACAUGUCUUCCGUUAGUGGAUAAGGGCAUUUUUAAGCCCAUUUUCAGACGGCAAGGGCAUUUAAGGGCCAACUUUUAAUGGAGGGCUUUGAUGCCCUAUUUCAUAUAGUAAAGGGGCAUUUUAGGCCCUUUUCCGUAGUUAAAUUAACCCAUUAUUUUCUCUGGUACCACCUAUGAAAUUAUCCUAUUAUUUUUCAGACACCAUUCAUGAAAUUACCUUAAUUACGAAACUUUAAAGAGUCAAUUACUCAAAUGGUCAGUCAACUAUCUCAAAUUAUCUCCUAAAGUCACUUUUCUUUCGUUUGUAACAACAAAGUCACUGAACUAUGUCUGUUGCAUUCAGAAGGUCACUCAACAAGAUUUUUCAAAUUUUGGAUUGUCAAAUACCUAUUUUACCCUCUAAAUUAUAAAUAUUUAUCUUCUUUUAUUUUUUUAUACAAGCGAAACUCCAUGACACUGUCUUAAAGUUUGAAGUAUCUUGAACUAUCUCCUUCUCAAACUGAUAAAUAUUUUAACUCUAUGAAUAUUUUCUGGAGUAUGAAUUCUACGUGUUCAAAUUUCGUAAAACUUCCUGGAGUUUUCCGUGUUUCGAUUAGAUUUUUUUUUUUCAAAACUUUAUUUUCGUAUUAAAACGGUAAAACUUUGAAUAAUUUUCAAACAAUGGUUAAAUAUUGACGAGAGGUCUGAGAAGGAACUAUUGUGAAGUCUGAAUUCCCUCAUGUGCUUCAAAUUAAAUUCCUUCCAAGACACUACGAACGGGCCCAAAGAUAGUGGCGCGAAAUUCAAAAUUAACCAGAUUUUACCAUGAGUAAUUGAAAAAUAGUCACAGUUUCAAUCAUGUAUUUAUCAAAUUGAAACGAAAGUGGCUUUUGCAGUAGAGAGAAUUGUUUAGCACUGUUAAUUUACGACCCAAACAAUUCUGAUGAACAAUAGAUCCUACUUUAACACUCAGGGGUGAAGCUAUGCUCUUCUAAGGGUGGUCAAUUGGCCACCUUUUGUCAAAAAAUUUAUAUAAAUAAAAUAUUAGAUUUUAUGGGCAUAUAAUAUAUAUUGAAUACCCUUGACUCAUGCGUGCUCACCAGGUCCACCAUAAACCAUCACAUGUUUGAAAUAAUCCCCACCAUUAGGAAUAUCUAUAGCAUUGUAUAAAUUAGGGCCGUUUGCAUAUAUUGGCAAUUGACCUACAUUAAUAUUGUCACCCUUAUCACUUAAAAGUGUAAUAUUUCUGCAAAAUGCGUCAUAUAAAGUGUCUCUAAUGGGAGAAAAUCCUGAACCCAUGGAAGGUUCACGUAUUCCUGGUGGACUAUAUACGACUCCGCCCCACUCAACUCUUGUUGCAAAAUAGUCAAAGUCAUCAAACACCUCACGAGGCCAAAAACCAAUUGGUAUAUUAGUGUCUGUGCUGAACAACCACCAAUUUCCUUUAUUUUGGUCCUAUUUUCAAAAAUAAAAAAUGGUUAGCGAAUAAAAAUUGAUAUUGCUUUAUGCUUGAAUAAAAAAAAAAAACUUACCCAAUUUAUUGAAAGUCUCAUCUCAAAUAUUUUCUCUCCACGUUGUGAAACGGGAUUAAGUGCUCCAUCUAUAACUACUUCUCGGUUUACAAGUACAAAGGCAGGACAUAACAAGUUGAAACAAGCAUUUGUACCAUUCUGAAAGUAUGAAAAGAAAAGUUUGAGGGAGCAAAAGAAAUUACAGAAAAUACCUAAAAAUGCCACUCAACUUUCAAAAUGGUCUAUCCAUGUCAUCCGUUAAAAAAAUGCUCAUUUCAUGGUACGGCCGUUACACAUUUGGCCUAUCCAUGCCAUUAUUGACUAACGGUAGUGGCAUGGAUGGGCCAAAUAAAAAUUGAGUCGUUAGUCAAUAAUGGUAUGGAUGGGCCAAAUGUGUAACGGCAGUGGCAUGAAAUGAGCAUUUUUUAAAGAAUGGCAUGAAUAGACCAUUUCUCAAUGUUGAGUGACAUUUUUAGGCAUUUUCCAAAGAUAUUAUGAAAUAUAUAAAAAGCUAACUAAUCAUACUAGUUGGGAACUUGCCUGGAAAUGUAUGUAUAACCUAGUCGCGUUGUCACCAUACAAGGUUGGGUCAACCUAAAGUAGAAAAGAAAUAAUGUUAAUUAUAGCUCUUUUCUUUGUUUAAAUAUGUAGAUAGGAAAAGAACUAAUUCCCAGUGAAGAGUCUCAUUUGACUUACUCUCCAACCAACUUGUAUAAUAUUUGUUCCUUUAAUUAUUUUCAAACGACAUGCACUAUGUUGUUGAUCUUCGACAUGAGGAUUAUAGACACUAGUUGUCAUCGCGCCUCCUCCAAAUUUGUUAUUUGGAUUGUCAGCUGUAUGAAUGAUUGCAAGCUGAAGGGAGUAAAAAUAUAUAGGAUCACUUAAAUUUGAAAAUUCUUCACGAAAAGCUAGGAAUAAUUUAAACAUAAUUUAAAUAAAUAUGAUAAAUCAUGAUAUUUACCUUGUACCCUUGCAAAGGUUUGUAUCUUCUUUUUUUUCGAAUCAAUGGAGUUUUCCCUCUGUGCAAAAGUAAGGUAAGAAUAUAAGAUAUAUUAUAUUAAAAAGCUGAAUUUAAAUUGUGAUAGCAAAUGAAUCUUUGGCAUGUUUUAUUUAUAAAUUAUAACUAGCAAUAAAAUAUAGUGAAAUAUGAAUUGUAUUGGAACCAACUUUGUCAAUUGAAAAUAACACAAUCUUACAUAGGUAAGUGGACUGUCGACCAUUAUAUCUUCUGGUGGGGGCAAAAGUUUAUGUCUAAUAAGAUCUUCUUUCGUUGUUCUUCUGAUAGGAACAGUUCCAACAGGACAACCUCCAUCUGCUAAUCUUAUUCCUGGCAACUUAUUACUUGUCGACAUAGUUGAAUCGCUCUCUUUCACAAACAACGAGUUCAUCUGCUCAUCCAAAAUUUCUUUUUAUAAUCAUCACUUAUUGUCAAAACUGAAAAUAAAAAUUGAUUAUAUUGGAGGCAAACCUGAGGAUGGUAAUUGUGAUUUUUCAAUAAUGGAUGAUCAAAUGCAGGUUGCUUGUAGAAGUCCACACAAUCAUAUAUAUCGCUAUAUUCAGUCUGUUAAUGAAAAAAUUGAAAUAUUAAUGAUUUCAUUAUAUCAAAGAGGCAAAGAGUAUAAUUAAUUAGCAAUGUAUACUUAAAAAAGUGGGCGUAUGAAAUGAAUGUCGAUUUUAAUGAAAAGGCAUUUGAGAAACGAAACAAUUAUCUCCAAGACAGGUAAUUAAUAAUAUCUCAAAACUGCACACACUGAAUAAAGAACGGGAGAACUUAAAAAUCGAAAAUAAAAAGAAACGGCAAAAUUAAGUUACAAAAUAGAAAUGUAAUCACUAAAACAAGUUACAAAAAACAAUUAUGGCAAUUUAACUAUUGAGACACGUACCUUAAUCGUUUUAAUUGCAGGCUUAUUUAGACGUUCUAGUUGCAUCUCCAACUCUAGAUCUUCUUGUUCAUCGGAUAACUUUGUUCCUCGAACCCCAUCAUAAAUCAAGCACAGAAAGAGAACCAACAAAAGUUGUAUAAUCUUUCGAUUCAUUACCAUUUUCUACCUCAUAAAAAAGAAAGUUUACUCAGAGAUGUGUCUUAUAUAUAGGAAGAUGAUUUAUUUCAAAUAAAUAAAUUGCUAAUUAUUUUUACAAGUCGAUGACUUAUUCUAGCUAGUAAAUGUCAUCUAGAAGAAUGAAUGUCGAUAUAUGGGUAGUGAAGAGUGUAAAAAGGUAAGAAAAAAGAAAAGAAAAAGAGCAUUUAAUAUGGAACCAAACAUUCAUAAAAUUUCAGAUAUAUCAAAUCAAAGUAAAUUAAAAUAGUAGAGAAAAGACCACCAAUUACUUGAUUCACCAUUACUCCUGAGGUUGAAUUUUUCUAUCUGCUCUUGCCUAAGCUACUAUCAAGAAGAUUUUAUAUUUAUUAGGAUUAGAAUUAUUUUCAAUUAUUUUUGGUAAUAAUAUCCAUAGAGGAGAUUAACUCAUCUUGUGUAAGAGUAUUAAAGAUUGUCUAAUACUUCUAUGUUUUUAUCUUCUUAUCUAUUGUGGAGGGAAAAGUGUGAACUAAUGCAAUGACAUUACCAUAAGGAGAUUAUUUAACUAAAGUGGAAAAAUAAGUUCCAUUUUUGAAGAUUUAUUUCUUCAUUGAUUAAUGGAUAUUGAUACACCUCUGGAAAAGAUUUUAGAAACUCGUUUGUACGCGGGAAAAAUCGGGGGCAUAAUGCUUUGAAGAGUAAGUCCCGAAGUCACAGGAUCUCGGUUCGGCCGCUUCCCUCGAGAUUUAUCGACGCCUCGCCCGGAUCAGGCGUCGGCCAAGGUCCUGAUGAGCGAAGAUACCCUCGCUCGAGAGAAUGCAUCGGGGGGCCGCCAGCCUUGUCAAAAUAGCUCGACGCCAAUCCUCAUGCGACAUAAGAGAAACGGGCUAUCACAUCUCUUUCUUUUUGUACUACGUAUUCCGUACUAAGUUUGGGGCGCCCCUUUUUCUAUAAAAGAGGGGUCAUCAACACCUUGUAGUCCAUCUCCAACUAUCUUAAGAAAGCAAUAAUACUCCCCCCCCCCCUCCCUCUCUCUCUCUCUAUCUCUUCUAAGAUAUUUGUCUCCAUCGACCUCGAGGUCACUUUAAAACUUUAUUAUUUCACCGUGUGUUCUUCAUUAAUAUACUCAAAAUCGAUAAUAUAGAGCUUGGCUCAACCGUAUUUUUACUUGUUAUCCCUUCCCCGACUACCUCCGAUAAGCCCGAGACAGGCUCGAGGCUCGGCCCCGAAGCAUCUACUGGCCGGCUUUUCGCCCAGGGAACGUCCCCUUACUGGUUCGGUUAUUGCUUUGUUUAGAUCAAUCUCCAUCGUUUUACUUCACGUUUCGACACUAAACACCCCCACAAACUAGCUCGAGAAUAGAUCACGUAUUUUUAGAAUCCCAUUUAAUUUACAAAUUUAAUUAUUGUUACAAUUUUCACGUUAAAUAGUUUGGCGCCCACCGUGAGGCUAAAUAUAAUAGUGAUUAUUUUCUUGCUAGUUUCGUCACUCAAACAUACGAUACCUUUCACACAUUUUCUUGCCCGAGAUCAUUUGAUAGCAGGUGGAAAUAUCCGGCUCGAUAAACAGAGUUGAGAACAAUAUUCUCGAAAACCAUGGGGAAAAUGAUGUGGCUGUCCCGGCCGCCGGAGCACCCCCGCAGGAGCUUGGUGGCAUUCCCGGACCAAUCCUGGUGGACGCAGAUUCGCAGGACGCUCAGCAAGUGGACGAAACUUCUUGCUGCAACAGGAGCAUACGACACGACGACNNNNNNNNNNNNNNNNNNNNNNNNNCUAGCCAUCACUCAGCUGUAGAGCCACCCAAGAACCCCCAGCACGGUAGCACUGGAUACAUCUCCCCCCGCCGAACGGGUACUCGAAAGAUUGCAACAACUGAUCGUGGCUGAUCCCAUCAUCAUAAAAUGCUCGAGGAUCUUACCAAAAGAAUCGAGUCGGGAGAAAGGAUGAUCGCAGCCAACGACAAAAGGGUCGAGACCUACAACUCUAGGGUCGAUCAAAUCCCAGGUUCUCCCCCGGUCCUUAAAGGUUUGGACUCAAGGAAAUUCAUCCAAAGGUUGUUCCCUGAAGAAGCAGCCCCGAAACCUAUCCCGAAGAAGUUCAGGAUGCCAGAGCUCCCUAAGUACAACGGCACCACCGACCCCAACGGACUCGUCACUAUGUACAUUUGCAUAGUAAAAGGCAACGACAUAAAGAGCGACGAGAUUGAAUCUGUACUGCUGAAAAUUCGGAGAAACACUUUCAAAGGGGGCCAUGAUGUGGUACCAUAACCUGGCUCCCGACUCCAUAGAUUUGUUCGCCAUGUUAGCAGAUUCUUUCGCGAAAGCACAUGCCGGAGCCAUUAAAGUAGCAACGAGGAAGUCUAACAUUUUCAAGAUCAAGCAGAGGGAGAAUGAGAUGCUGCGAGAAUUCGUGUCCCGAUUCCAAAUGGAGCGGAUGGAGCUACCACCAGUCUCCAACUAUUGGGCGGUACAGGCCUUCACCCAGGGCCUGAACAAACGAAGCUCCAUGGCUUCGAAGAAGCUGAAGCAGAAUCUGAUCGAGUACCCAGCCGUAACUUGGUCAUACGUCCACAACCAGUAUCAAUCAAAGAUCGGAGCGGAGGAUGACCAGCUAGGGGCCCAUCGGGCUCGUUAUACCCGAACAGACUCCUAGCGAAAGAAGUGAAACUAAUCAAGGAAAGGUACCAAUUGUACCUCGAAGACAGGAGGAACACCCCAAGGCGCAACCUGCCCUACAACGAUCGGAGAAUGGAUCGGGGACAGGAUCCUCGAGGGAUCAUCAAUAGGGACAAAUUCGACCGAGGCAUGGAACCGACCAACGCACCUCACUUAUCAGAGUAUAACUUCAGCGUCGACCUAUGAGACAUCGUGUUCGCUAUCAGCAAAAUCCAGGAUGUAAAAUGGCCUAAACCAAUACAGUCAGACCCGUCGUAGAGAAAUUACAACUUGACGUGUGAGUUUCAUAACACGCAUGGUCACGAGACCGAGGAUUGCCAUCAACUGUGAGAAGAGGUAGCCCGGCUACUCAGCAAAGGACAUCUCCGGGAAUUCCUCAGCGAUCGAGCCAAACAUCAUUUUCGAGAUAGGGAGGCGAUCAAGAAGAAUGAAGUAAACGAACCACAACACGUCAUUCACAUGAUCAUGGGGGGUGCUGAUACCCCGUAGGAACCCAUGAUGAGGAAAACCAAAAUAUCCAUUACUAGGGAGAAACGGACUCGGGGAUAAAACGCCCUGGUAAUCUCAUAACAACGCCCUGGUAAUCUCCUUCCUAGUGAAUUCUUUUUAGGUAAAAUGUGUACUCGUGGAUCCAGGUAGCUCAACCAAUAUUAUCAGAUCAAGGGUGGUAGAACAGCUCGGCCUGACCGAACGGAUCAUGCCCACCACUCGAAUCCUCAACAGGUUCAACAUGGCAAGCGAAACGACGAAGGGAGAAAUCAACAUCCCCAUCACCGUGGUUGGUACGACCCAAAACACCAAGUUCCAUGUCAUCGAAGGAGACAUGAGGUAUAACGCCUUGUUCAGACGAUCGUGGAUACAUUUCAUGAUAGCAGUACCGUCCACUUUCCACCAGAUGAUAAAAUUCCCGACGAAAGACGGAGUUAAAACCAUCUACGGGGAACAAGACGCGGCAAGGGAAAUGUUCUCAAUACACGACGCACCAUCGGCCCCGGUAUUCCCGCGUCCGAAAUAAGCCCACAGGCGAAUCGAGCCUCGUCACCAGUCAGGAUAGGCAAAAUGAAAAAAUAAGAACCCGUACUUCAUACCCGACAUCGGGCAAUCAUAGCAAAUCAGCUCCGGAACACCGCCGACGUAUCUUGUCCCAAGGUACCGCCACUUUCUUUAUUUUAUUUUUAAAUAAAAAUUAACCCUCGUACAGGCACUCGACCAAAGAUAUCAGGACACUGGCACUAUCAGAAGACCUCGAGACCCCCCAAAAAGAGUUGCGCCCAUUGCACUCUUUUCCUUAGGCCGAGUUUUUUAUCCCAAAAAAAAGAAAGGGUUUUUACCGGUAAGGUUUUUAAUGAGGCAAUGCCCGCUAAGCUACCGGGGGAAAGAAUCCGCAAAAUCGCUCGGAGCCAUCCUAACUACCAGCGCCCGAAGCAGCCAGGGGCAUUCCCCCUGAAAAUCCACCGGACUCAUGGGAGCACCAAACAAAGGUCCCUAUAGGGAAAUAAUGUACCAGGCCAAAAUGUUCGAUAUAGCCAAACCUCGCUAGGACGAGGAGAUGUAUCAUUCUGUCUGGCAAUCAAAAAUACCCCCAUUCUUUUUAUGAGAAAAGGGAAAGGCUCCUAAUCAAGGGUAAGGCAACAUGAAAAUCGACGAAACAACCCGGCUUGGCCUAGGAACCGGUCGUUUCCGCGCAAUAGCACACAUAUCGCAUCGAUGGGCCAAAAUGUAUCUCCAACGCCUUACUAUCCAAAAGAGGAACAAAUCGCAGUAUACUCCCAACAGGAAAUAUCUCCAUCAAAUAUGUCCCGAAACACUCGGAGACUUAAAGUAACUCGACAUCCACUCUAUCUCGGGGUCGAAACUCCGGGCUCACAAAGCCCUCGCAAAUGCAACUCCGGGCACACAAAAAGCUAUCUUCAAGCUUUAGCGGGACUCAAUAUUUCGUAAAAUCAUCUCCAAUCACCACAUACUAGAAAAUCUGAAAUUGUAAGACCCUAACGGGCAGCCUCGGCACAACCAGAUCUAUUCUCCAUACACUGUAAGAACUCAACAGGCAUGGCAAACUGUAAGACCUUAACAUGCAUGAAAGGUCCCACAGUCUAGGCUAUAUGUCGCAUUUGUAAGAAUCCCAAAAGGGCAUACCCUUGGCGUAGAUGCCUAGAACUGCUUCUCGGGAUCAAAAAUGGCUCUGGCCAAAUGCACAUGACUUCGGUCAUAAAUGACUGCUACAGCCCAAAAACACGACUCGAGGACGCCCGACUGUCAUUAAAAAAUCAUCUGAAUCUACUUCGGAAAGAACCAGUUAAAAAUAGACUUCCCUCAACAGGCAAAAAACACGAGUCCCAACCACGUCAGCUCCAAAAUCGCAAAAAUGUUGAUAAACUCGACCUAUGAGCUAUGAACCUUCCGAGGUGCUCAAAACUUUACCGACUACGACUUGAUAUCAAAGUUCUUUUAGAACUGACGACGGGUCAGGCAAACACAUUCAAUAAGACCUUAACUAGAGAAAACAAAGCCUGUAGAGAUCCCCCGGGCCUCAUAUCAAAAGGUCUCUACGACCAAACAACGUAAGUGCCAUUGUUGCCGACUAAGCAUGCCUCCAGGCCUCACAUCGAAAGGUCUCUACGACCAAACAGCGUACGAGCCAUUGUCACUGGCUUGAAAAUUAACAACUUGAGGAUUAAAAUGAGCUCGAAUCGUAACCCAAUUCGGAGACCGGAUCCAAAAUAGUUAACCAAGCAAAGCCUCCGGGCCUCAUACUAAACGGUCUCAAUGACCAAGUAACAGAAAAAGCCACCUUCGUUGGACAAAAAAGAUUUGUGGAUUGGUUACAGCUCGGGUCGUAACGCUACUUGGAGACUGGGCCCUAAAAAUUGCAACAUGCUCAAGGGCAUGAAAUUGAUACUAUUACCACCAACUGAAACUCCCAGAAGGAUUAAAAGGUUCAUUAACAGCUCGAGCCGCAACACGACUCGGAGACUGAACCUGGAAAAUCGCCAGAAAAGCAGAUCAUCCUUGCUAGACAAAAUUGGCUCAAGGGUAAGUUAAGCACGAGUCGGAUUCCGACUCAAAGAUUAAACCCAAGGAUAAAUCAAUCCCAAAAUGCCUAAAGGCACAAACACCGCUAUCACCGGCCAGAAGCUCUAUAAAGAUUUGGGGAUCGAUUGCGGCUCAAGUUACAGCGUGACUUAGAGACUAAACUCAAAAGUCGCAGAAAGCCUAAGGGCACGACGUAAAUACCAGCAUGCCGGCCAGAGUAUCACGAAAAGUCGAGGCUCAAAUUCAGCUCGAGCCACAGCACGACUCGGGAACCGGGCCAAAGGGAAGUUUGACCACGGAUGCUUCUAAAAGCAUAAAUGAUAUCAUUGGCAAACGCCGAUACAAGCAAGAAAUACUCGGAGACUAAUAAAACUCGAGCCACGACAUGACCCGGAGACUGGGGCCAAGAAGAAUCGGGAUGUCAAAAGAAUCAAGAAGGUCUGAACCAAGACCCGCCUCAAAGGACCCAACUCGAAACGGCUAGGCUAAACACGCGAAGCCCCGACAUAUCUGAUCAAAAUCGGACUUAUGAAGGCCCGUCCAUGCACCAGAAUCAGCCCGCCCGGGCUAAAACAACAAAGGUAUCAAAGAAGAAAAACUCCAAACAUUUCUUUAUAUACAUAUAUCAUGCACGAAAGGCUCCCUUUCAAUCUACAGGCAUCCUACGACUAUGUCGAAAACAAAACAGCAAAGAAUGAUAAAAUCUAUGCCCCGCGCCGAAAGGAAUACAGCUUGUCAGGAUUCACCCUCUACUGCCUCAGCAAAAGACAACCAAGCUCCGCGAUUGUCCCGCUACACUAGCCCAAGCGGAAUAUUCCUCUUCGCAGGCCACAUGGAAACAUCUUCAUAGUCGCCCCUCGACAAAUUGGGCCACCCAGCUAAAAACUAUUUCGGCUUAUCCACAAUAAGAAAUAUCCUCACCUGAUGUAUCUCGAAAUACCCGGAGACUGAAAUCGAAGGCGAUCCAACCUCAAACAUGCCUAAAGGGAUGACCCGAAUAACAACUAUCAAUGGUCGAGGUAGGUCUCCGAACCGCCCGCCCGCAAAACCGCUUUAGUUUAGGAGCGCAAAGUUCCAUCUCCCCCCGCCCAUGAAGGCGUAUAGGAUCCGGAUGGCCAACCAAAGCUCGAGCCAUGGCACGAAUCGGGGACUAUUGUCACACCUCCUUUUUCACUACACCCGUAAGGGCAUAAAGGAGUUUUUCCGCUUAAAGGACAUUAGAACGGGAUUUAUUAUAAGGAUUUCAGAGUCGCCACUUGGGAGAUUAAUGGUGUCCCAAGUCACCAUUUGAAUCCCGAUCCGAGGAAAAUAUGACUCUGUUAACAGUCUGCGAACCAAAAAUCCGAGUAAGGAAUUCUGUUAACCCGGGAGAAGGUGUUAGGCAUUCCCGGGUUCCGUGGUUCUAGCACGGUCGCUCAACUGUCGUGUUUAGCUUAUUCAUCUGAUUUUAUUACAUGACAAACCUAUGUGCCGACUUUUACUUUUAACCGCUUUUAUUUAAUUUUUAAAGAAAGUUGAACGUCGUUUAAAACGUGUCUUUGGAUCGUGUCACAUGAAAUGCACCCGCAAUCCUAAACACAUUUCAUUCAACGUUUUGGAAUUUGAUUUGGGUCACAUGAAAUUCACACCCGAGUUUAAUUAAUUUUAUUAAAAAUUGCACCUCAAGUAUGUAACGCGUUGUUAUCUUUGGGGGAGGCCGUAAAAUUUGCUAAACGGACCAUCCCAAAUUCUAAAUAUUUUAUUAUAACCAGUUAUUGAGGGCCCCGCAACUUUGCAUUAUAUUUGGCGAGGCUCGUCUCAUUUUUUAUUUAAAGUCUACCCUAAAGUAAACUAUGAUUUUCUAUAUUAUUUGUCUAAUAUUAAAGGAAAAGGCCUAAUUAGUUAGUAUUAUGAAAUUCAGGUCUCAAGUUCAAGUCCGGAUCCAAACAAGAGGAAACACCUUUUAGUUUGAACCCGCUACCUAACUUAAAGCCCACAACCUGUCAUUUAAGUACUAACAAAUCAAUGGCCAUUUCAGUCUUGGGCCUAGGGAGCCCAAACCAAACGACACAUGCGGGCAAGACAAAAUUUCAACCAACCAAUAUAUUGGGCUUGACAUCAAUUCACACUAGACAGAGGAUAGACCAGUGAAGCUUGGCCCAGGUCCAAAUAGACAAAUACUUAUGACAAGACCUGGGCCUUCAACCCAAAUAACUAGGCCCAAAGGCGCAGGGGAGAUCUGAUAGCCCAAAUAGAUAAGAACAUCUACUAGGGGUGGGCGUUCGGUAUUUCGGUUCGGUAUGUAAGAAUUUCGGUUCGGUAUUUUAGUAUUCAGUUUAUCAAUUGUGUAUACCAAAUACCAUACCAAAAUAUUUCGGUACGGUUUCGGUUUAACAAUCAAUGAAUAAUCAAUGUUAAGUGCUAACAGUGCAUAUACACAAUUGAAAUUUUCACUCUAAAAGAAUAUAUUUUCCGAUAUAUAACAGUGCACAACUGCACAAUGUGCACAUGGCUGAAACAAGAAUAACAUAUUAUAUUCUCUUAAUUGUGGCUGAAACCUAAAACCCCUGUUAUGUGAAUAUGUGAUAACCAAUUCACAAUUUCACAUGACUUAAGAAUAAUUGAAAAGCAAAAGCUGAACAAGACAACAACUUCUUUACAAUCUGGCAAUCUGCAGUUGCAAACUUGCACGCCAGUAUACUCAAUACUGUAUGUUAUAUUAUACAAUAUUACAAUCUGCAGUUCUGCACAAUGCACAAUGAAUUUGGCGUAUACUGUAGUUGGCAAAAGCUGGCCAACUGCACAAUGCACAUUACACAACUAUAUUAAAAAACUUAAACACAAAAUACUUAACACAGUCCAACAAGUCCAACAACUUAAACACAGUUAAACACAGUCCAACAAAAACAGUCUUAAGUAUUAACACUUAAACACAGUGCAACACAAAUAAGAGCUUGCACACAUUUAGGAGUCAAUGAACUUCUAAAUGAAUCAAGAAUACGACCACCAGUGCUAAAUGCGCAUUCCGACGCCACACUAGAAAUUGGAAUUGUCAACACAUCACGAGCCAACUCCGAAAGAAUAGGAAAUCUAGGAGCAAUCAUGCCAUCAACCUCAUCCAUAAUCAGAACAGUCUUCUGAUGGUGCAAUCUACAAUCAUCAACAUGGAUUAUGGCAUAUCAUACUUCUGAUACAAACAUUCAAAAAAGCAGAGGUUUACCUGCCAAUAUUAGCACCUAGGGAUUCAUUGCUAACAAGUUCUUUUAUGGAAUUUGCAGUACUACCACCAAUUCCUUUCUCAAUUUUUGAAUCAGCCUUUCCACGACUAUCACUAGCAUUUACCUAAAAAAAAUAAAGGUACUGUUAUAUUAAUCCAACAUCCAACAAAAAGAAAGAGUAAGUUAAAAUGCGCAUUCGGUUGAAUACUUUUUUAGAUACUCUCCAAACAAAGAAUUCAUAUAAGCAUACACCUCAACAUUUAUUUUCUUCCCUUUUUCCUCCCCAAAAAGUUCUUCAAGUGCUCCCUCAACAUAUUCAAAUUUGUUACGUGGAUCCAAGACGAAAGCAAUAAAAAUCAUUUUAUUCAUCUUUUCAGGCUCACCCCAAUACUUCUUGAAAGGCUAUAACGAAUUAACAAUAUCUUUCCAACAGAUGCAGUAGCAGUCUAAUACUCUAAUGUAACUGCAGUCUGCAGCUAAGCAAAAGCUAAAAAGGCUAAACAAGCCAUUAACAUUUAACAAUAUCCUUUUCUAGCCAUCUAUAAAUAAAUAAAAAACCAUGGCCAUUACUACUCAAGUGACAAGUCCACACUCCACAAUUAUUUAAAUCUUUCCAAACCAGCAACCAUAAGAAUGUCACAACAAAGAAGACUAACAGUGAAUUCACUCAACUGUCAUCAUCCUAAAGUGUCUAUCACAAGAAAAAUGCAAGGAAAGUUCUAAAAAUCAGACCUAAACAAAGUAAUCAUAUGGUAAGCCUAACAUAUAGUCGUGUACUCACAACUGUUAUUAUACAAGCAAAUGAAUUAAACAGCAUGAACGUGAUACAGAUGAUAUUUUCCUACUAAAGGGAAAAGCUCGGAACAGCAGUUCAUUCAAUCAGCAGUACAACCAAAAGAAAGCAAAACAUACCUUUGAAAUUGAAAUUGAAUCGAGCUCGGAACACUAGAACAGGACAGCAACGUCUUCGACACUUUGUUUGCCCGGAAUUUGUGAGGAGUGAGGAAUCAAAUCGAGCUGGAAAUCGCCGCCUAUAACCCUAAAUUAGUUUGAUGCAGAAAAUCGAGCUGGGAUGAGAAUGAGAUGAGAUGAGACUUACAAAAGUAGUGAAGUUAACCGGUGAAGAUGACAUGAGACUCGAGCUCGACUGUCGACUGGUCGUAACUCGUAAGUCGUAACUCAUAGACUGAUAUCCUAAGCAGUCGAUUCUCGUCUAGACUCAGCACUCGCAGACUGAUAUCCUAGACUCGCAGUCGAUUCUCGUCUUCUUCUUCUCGAUGAUAUCCUUCCUAAGCAGUAAUCCCUAAUGGGUAAUGGCUAAUGGCUGCCCUACUUUGAUGAGAAUGCCUAAUUUGAUUCUCGACUUGGGUCUUGGGUAUACUAUUAACUGACUUGGGUCUUGGGUAAUUGAUUGGGAUUGGGCUUGGGAGUUGGGGGAGUUGGGCCUGGGUGGGUGGGAUGCCGGGAGACGGUAUUGGAUUAUGGGGCAUGGGCUAUUAAAUAGGUAAUUGGGCUUAGAACUUAGAUAUAGUCAUAUAUAUUAUAUAGGUUCACCAAAAUUUCGGUAUUUCGGUGUACCGAAAUUGUAAAAUUAUAGUACCAAAAACCGAACCGAAAUACCGAAAUACCGAAAAUUCAGUACCGAAUUAGACCGAAAUACCGAAAAAACCGAAACCGAAAUACCAAAUUAAUUUGGUUCGGUUCGGAAUUCGGUUUUUCGGAUUUUAUUCCCACCCCUAUCCUCUACUGAAAUUGAUUCUCAACGGGUCUAAAUGCACCAAACGUUAAGUGACCGAAUUUUAAUUACAGUUAUUUUUCUUACUGACUUUAACUUGAAUUUUCCAAUACUAUUAAUGAGAAGCCCCAAAUGGAACGUGAUUUACAAACACAAAAUGGACCAAUUGUUUUUGAAUUAGGCAAUCCAGGUCAUUACACAUUAUGUAAACAUGAGGUUAGUAUCAUAUUUUACUACUCACGCAGACUUGAAAUAAUGACCAAAUCAUUUAUACUAAGUGAACAACAGGCUGGAAAUAAUGACUAACACUGGCAACCGGAUUCUAUUUCUGAUGAUUUCGACUUAGUUUCCAUUUCAAGGCUAUGAUUAACACAUAAUACUAAUGACCUGUAUUAUGACUACUAAUUUUGAAGAAACAAACACAAAUCCAUUCACUUAACAGUCUGAUAUUGUAAUUAAACAGUAUGAAUACAAGCUACAUAAAUCAAAUGUAAACUAAGCAGGUACAGAUUGUAGAUCGUCCCUUCAGCAACUCAGAUUCCACUUCAGCAACUCAAAUACAAAGCUACAUCCAUUCAGAUUUGAGUAUGUACCUGGAAUUUGAAAUGCAAUGAGUAGAAAGAGGAGAGAAUCAGCAGCAGUUAGCAAGUGGUCACAAGCAGCCCAAUAAUAGUUCAGAACUCAAAAUAUUUCAAAAUCAAGUAGUAUCGGCAGGUCAGACCAACACCCAAUCGAACUAGUUCAAACAUAUCCCAAAUGCACCCAAAAUGAACCCAGUAUCACUUAAAUCUUCCCACAAACCAGAGCUUCACCAAAAUCAAGCUAAGUAGACCAAAAUACUCAGAAUCAAACUAGUUAACCUCCACAGAAAUUCAGCAAACCAGUAGGAUACUACGAUCACUUACUAAAAUUGAAAUUAGCCUAAAAUUCCUAACGAAACAGUAACUUUUUUUGUGAUUUUUGAGUUUUUUCUUGUUUUUGAUUUUUGAAAUCUGGGUUUCAACUUCAGAGCUGAAAAAAAACUAAAGAGAGGGAGUUUUCUUUUUUGGGGGGAUUAGAUAGCUGAAAAACCUUGGGAAUUUUCAGGGAGUCUAACCUUGUAAUCCAAGGUACUAAACAUGCCUUUUAUAGGCAGAAAAGGGGGCAGAAGGUUCUGGAAACAUUUACUCAUUUUUCCCUUUCUUAUUUCAGAAAUUAUUGCUUAAUCCCUGAAUUUUUGGCUUGUUACUGAAGAUUCUGCAUUAAAAAUGCAGAAACUUACACUAAGGCCCCCUUCUAGAAGGCCCUAGGGUGUUCUUUUACCUAUACAAUACCUAUACUACCCUUAUUUUGGUUUUGGAAUUACUAUUCUUAACAGAUUACAUCAUUUCCCAUGCCCAAACUGCCCUUACGUGCCCCCUGAAAUUACUAACCACCCAAACCCCUUUAUCUUUGCUACAAAUUCACCAUGGUUAAUCAGAACUAAACUAUUCAGCUACAUCCAACCAUCCAACCUUAAAACUGAAUUAAAGAAUAAUUAAACCUUCUAAUCAAACUAUCAGAAUACUAAUUCAAUCCAAACAAAAUCCAACAAUGUUCAACAAACUUGCAACCACAUUUAAACUUAAAAUCUAAAAUUCCCAAACCAAGAUGGAAAAAUGAAACACACUUACUACAAACACUUACAGAAAUCAAAAAGAAAACUACCAAAUUCAUAACUAAAAAUUGAAAUCAAAGCGAAGAAAACCUAAUUAAAUCGAAUUCGGCUAACUAAAUAGAACUAAACACUGAGAAAAUCAAAAAUACAGUAACGCCUAGAAUUGUAACAGAAGCAUGAUCAAUUGGAAACAAAUCAAAAACUUCAUUAAACCACUAACAACAAGAACCAAACUAAUAAAAACCAAGACUAAUAAGAAAAAGAAAGAGAAGAAAACUUACUGCUAAAUCUUCAUUUGGACAAAUUCAUCGAAAUUGGUUUUCUAAUUAAUGUUAUAUGUUUAUAAAACAUAUAACAUCAAUUAAGAAACCACUUGACGCCUGAAAUCCCCAAAACAGCUUCAAAUCCAUAACCCUAAAUUUGACAUGCGAGCCCUUGCACUCAGAUUUGAAGGAUUCUGGGUAAGUAUUAGUGAUGAGGGAAGGAAUACGAUCAUCUGGUAUCAAUUUGGUGGGAAAAAAUGGGCGGCGGCUAGGGUUUAUCAACUUCGAAUCAGGAUUCGAAACCUUUGAGGUUGAUUUGAAAGAAAAGAAAGGUAGAUUUGGCAUGAGAAGGCAGAGACGAUGUCAGGGUGUGAUUUUGGUGGCCGUUGGUGUAACUAACGUCUUGGCCGGAAUCUUCAAAUUAAGAUUCGACCCGGUGAGGUCUGAUUCGAGGGAAACCGGGUGCACAGUUGGAAAGAGAAGAUCGAGGAGAGUUACUGGUGUAUUUUUGGUGGUCAUCGGCGUAGUUAUCGUCCUCCCCGCCAGCGAGUUUUAACGGAGAAGAUGAGGGCGGGUGAGGAUCCCUAGGGUUUGGUUGGAGAUGGAGGAGGGGGGCUUUGAGGGUGGGGGUGUUAUGUUUCGGACAAAUUUAUAUUAAAAUAUGGGGGUUUCCUGGUCGUUUGAUCGAGUUACCUCGACGGCCAGGAUUGAGGGUAAAGGGAAAACGAUGUCGUUUCGGUUAAGGGGGAGAUGGACCGAGUGAGGUAUUCAAUUGGGCUGGGUGUGGGGAUGUUCGGAUUGGGCCAAACUCAGACAACUAAAGAAAUUAGCCCAAUUCGGGUUUCUUAUAAAGAACCCUUUCAUUUGUUUGAUUUCUCUUUUAUUUAUUUUAUUUAUAUUUGUUUGUUUUUUUUUUCAUUUUGUAUUUUUGUAUUAUUUUUCUGAUUUUAUAUAUAUGCAAAAAUUAAAAUUAAAAUUAAAAUCAAGUCCUAAUUUAUUUCAAAGCUAAAUUAAAAACUACUUUGUAACGAAUUCACAAUUAAAACAAUUAAAAAGUGAAUUAUUUUUGUUAUUUUUUUCAUAUUUUGUUCUAAAAACAAAUUAAUCCCUAAUUAACACUAAAAAUAUGAAAUUAAAUCCUAAAUGCAAAUAUAUUUUUGUAUUUUUCAUAUGAAUAAAAAUUCACAAAUAAAAUGCAACAAUUACCAGAAAAUGCCACAAAAUUCACAAAAAAUUGUAAAAUAAUAAAGAUAUUAUUUUGUUUGAAUUUAGGAAUAAUAUGCUUAGGGAAAAAGUCACGUGCUCACAACUAUUCCCAAAACCGGCUUACACGAUCAAAAGCAACAACAGAAAAAAGGUACGAAAGGAAUAAAAUCUUUAAAAGUUCUUCUUAUAUUACAUGCAGAAAAAGAAAACAUUCCCCGCAUACAGGCGCACCCUGUGCGCGCCGGAAAUAAAGUUACGAAACAAGGGAACCUCUAUUUCUGUGCCAAAGGGCUACAAUUCGCCAAGAUCGCCCUUUUCAACGCCCACGGAGAGUGACCGAGCAUCACGUUCAUCCGCCCUUGCUUGGGCCAAUUCCUUCAAAGAAAAUGAAGCCCCCCAUUCCAGCCUUCUUGAGUAUCUCUCUUCAUGGUAGGCAGCAGACGUAUUCCUUGAUCCUUUUCACGAUCAAGGGCUCACCUCAACUCGGAUCGAGCAUCACAACUUCCUUUAUGCAACCUCCAUCCCGCGAUCAUCCUGGUUCGGCUUAAAAGCCGUUUUCGCCCGGGCAUGGGUUGCCUCGGCCCUGACCUACAAAGAAAUUAGGUUCGAACUUCUCAAUCAUAUCCUCCCGGACCCUGGCAUUAUCACAGGUCAAGUAAGGUUAGACCUCGAAGGUAGGGGUCCUAGCCAAAAUUCUUAUCUCCUCCGAAACCCGGUGCCUGCGCUCGAGUCCUCAGCUCCCCGCAAACAAUUCUGGCAAAAUUAUCAUCGCCCAUAAGGUACUGCAAAAAAUCUUCACCUUUUUUCUACAGCUGAUAGAAAGGAGGCCGACUAGAAGGAUAGAAGAUGCGAAGCACGCAUCACAAAAGUUACCUGCUCCACCAAAUAGCUCCAGAAAUUCGAGCUUGACCUCAGGUAUAAUGGGCCCCAACGGCGUCCGACUUAGUCAAUGCAUUCCCCUCAGGAGCAUAAAGCAGCCUUGCCUUGACAAAAGGAUCUGGCAUACCACAUGCCUCAUCAUCAACACUGCCCGCCUAGGAACCUACAGGAAAGGCACAUUCGCACCCCUAAGGAACCACCCAACGCCGACAGACUCCCGCAAUAGAGAAAGGAAAGAGCAGCCACUGAAAUUCGUCAUCAUCAAAGAUAGAACCGGCAGCACACUAGGUAUGCUGCCUGAGGGACACCCUUUCGCCCUUACGGACAACUAACAAAAGGUACCAAAGGCACGGCACCUAUGCCCGGAAGGAGCGACUCACCUAAAAAUCGGUCUCUGCCCCCUCCGAAUAAAACAGCCAUUAAAGGCAGGACCCAACGGCUCCUAAGGAUGCAACAACAACCAGGAACGCCAGUCGUCAGCUCCAUCUCCUAAAACGGCAUAAAAGUCGGCCUCGGGAGCCCCCAUCAUUGUGAAGUAAAGCUCCUUAAAGCCAACAACACCUCCACCUCCACAGCGUCAGCACACAAGGGCAUGUGUCCGAGAGACGGCCAGCAGACGCAAUGACAUUUUGAUGAGCACUCUCAUGGAAUGAUCUCUGGGCUACGAUCAGGGUGACCUAAUUACAGGUAGAUCUCCACCCAAAAGCCGCAUUUGGGGAGCCGGCAGUGCCCCUAAACUCGCCAGCCCUCAGACGAGCCUCCUAUCAAAGGCCUCCGUAAGGUUCGAGGUCAUCACCCUCACCUUCACGGCAAAAUAUUUAGCUGCCCAAUGUACUAAUUCUAUUUUUGGAGCAUGGAGAAUCCUAUGCGAAGCUGCUUCUUUGGGCAGAAGCUUCACGAAGGCCAGAAAAAGUGCCCGAAUACAAAUAAAACAUGGUUCGCCUCAUGCAUCCCGAAGAGGGUUAUCCACGUCGAGAUUGGCAAAUACCCCCGGGUACCCAAAGGCAAGCCUCGCCCAUAAUAACGUCCCUGAAAGUACCGGGGUUCAGCAAACCUCAGAACCAUUCGGAGAGCCCGGUAAGCCAGGUCUAUCGAAGCAGAUGCUCACGUUCAAGACAGGUGACGAUAGUCCGCGAGUCCGCGAGCAAUAGAGAACGCCCGAGAGGCCUCAAAAAGAAUCAAAAACAUUCAAAGGAAAAGCGAAGCAAGGAAAGCAGAAAUCCAAAAAAGGUUUGAUUCAUAUUUUCGAGAAAUGCAUAAACAGAAAGCCCCCGAGGGGUCAUUACAAGUGACACAAAGACCCGCGAGAGGAUCAUUACACAGAAGAAAAAUCUAAAGGUCGGAGGAAGCCGACCUCAUAUAUCGCCAUACCAAGCCAAUGGGAACAACAACAAUAACAGCAACAACAACAACAACAACAACAACAACAUCAGUAGCAACAUCAUCGCAGGACAAGCCUUUCCCACCGAAGAAAGAUCGAGAGCUGGCCCGCGGCAUGCCCGACAUAGGAUCUCAAGGCUGUAGGCCUCAAAUAUUGCAAAGCAGCCAAAAUUGGAAAAAUGGCAGGAGAGGCAAGAAGAGAAGAUAACGAAGGGAGCUUUUGGAUGAGGAACUGAUCAUAAGGAAACUCCAUAUAUAUAGGGAAAGGCAGAGUAACCAACGACGCUAUUAUCGCCCUCUAGAAACAAAACAUUAGGUAUAAUUAAAGAAUUCAUGUAAGCCAAAGCAAUAGCAACGAAAUGAUAGAACAGAACGAUAACAACAAUGCUGCCCCGAGAAGAAAGGGGCCACGAUACUUCUAAUGGUCCUAAAGAAGCAGGAAGGAUAAACGCCUCGACUCCUGAGAAGGGAGGUUGCGCCAUCGGCACAAUGUCAUAACGGAAGCUCACGAGGAAAAGUGUCAAAAAUGUUUCUUAUCAUUUCUCUCAAAGAAAUGCAGAGUCUAUCUGUACGUGGGGAAAAUCGGAGGAAUGAUUUUCCUCGGCAUAAUGCUUCGAAGAGUAAGUCCCGAAGUCACAGUUUCUCGGUUCGGCCGCUUCCCUUGAGAUUUAUCGAUGCCUCGCCCGGAUCGAGCGUCGGCCAAGGUCAUGAUGAGCGAAGAAUGAGAGAAGAUACCCUCCCCCCGAGAGAAUGCAUUAGGGGCCCGCCAGCCUUGUCCAAAUAGCUCGACGCCAAUCCUCAUGCAACAUAAGAGAAAUAGGCUGUCACAUCUCGUUCUUUUUGUACUAUGUAUUCCAUACUAAGUUUGGGAUGCCCCUUUUUCUAUAAAAGAGGGGUCACCAACACCUUGUAGUCCAUCUCCAAGGUUGCUACCAUUUAAUUGUUGCUACCAUUUUCACGAUAACCAUCGUUGAUGAAUACUUGAAAAUUAAUGAAUCUUAUAUGGUUUAUUUAGUUUUUUCAAGAGUUGAAAUAAAUGGUUUUGGCUCCUCUUGAUUACUUAUUUUCUCUAUUUUCCCAAAUUUUUACUUGGAUGAGUGACAAAUGAAAUAAUUGUUGCAGUUCAAACUCAAGUAAAUCAUUUGGGAAUUUUCCCAUCCGCAUUUUAGCUAGGAUUUUGUUGUCCAAAUUACUUUAUUUUGUAUUAAAAAGUGGUAAAUGUUUGAAUAACUUUAAAGGGUAGCUAAAUAUUAAUUAGCUAUCUAAAAAGUUGCUAUUUGUUGAAGUUUGAAUUCUCUUAUGUUCUUCAAAUUCUAUUCCAUCCAAGACGAAUUAAUUGGUGAAAUAUGACACAAUAAAGGGUAGUCUUAAAAUUUUGGUCCUGCUAAACAAAAUAUUUAAACUUGAGAGAGUCAACCAUAAGAACUUAAUGAAUGAGUUGGCUCACCAAAAGUCAACCAUAAGAACUUGAUGAAUGAGUCGAUCUAUAGAGAGUCAACCGUAAGAACUUAAUGAAUGAGUUGGCCCAUAAAGAGUCGACCAUAAGAACUUAAUGAAUGAGUUGGUUCACAGAGGAUGUUGUCAUGUAAAUGUGAUUUAUAUUUUCGAACUCUCAGGUUCAUUCCACACUUAUGUCAUUUGGCCAAAGGCCUAAUUAUCUUUUGAAUCAAAACAAAGAUUUCUAAGAGAGAGUUUAAGUACCUAGGGUCUAUUAUUUAGGGAGAUAAGGAAAUUGAUGGGGAUGUCACGCACCAUAUCGCGGUGGGGUGGAUGAAAUGGAGGUUAACGUCUGGAGUCCUAUGUGACAAGAAUGUGUCACCGAAACAUAAAGAUAAGUUCUAUAAAACGGUGGUUAGACCAGCCAUAAUGUAUGGGGCUGGGUCCUGGCGAGUCAAGAUUUCACAUAUCUAGAAGAUAAAAGUAGCAGAAAUGAGGAUAUUGAGAUGGAUGUGCGGGCACACUAGGAUGGAUAAGAUUAGGAAUGAGGACAUUCGGGAGAGGAUGGGUGUGGAUCCUUUGAAUGACAAGAUGUCGGACGUGAGGCUUAGAUUGUUCGGGCACGUGCGGAGGAGGAGCCUAGAUGCUCCGGUUAGGAUGUGUGAGCGGUUGUCUCUGGCGGAUAUGAAAAGAGGUAGAGGGCGGCCUAAGAAGUAUUGGAGCGAGGUGAUCAGGCAGGACAUGGCACGACCUCAGAUUUCCGAGGACAUGACUCUUGAUAGGUGUUUCGGCCAAACGCACACGCAAGUAUACGCGGUCGUCAAGUAAUAAAGUGACUAAAAAUUGAAUGUCGAUCCCACAAGUACUUGUGAUUAACUAUUAACUAAAUUUGACUAUCCUAAUUAUCUAAAAAAGAAUUAAACCUAGAAGUAUUUGAUUCUAAACUAAUUAAAUAAAGAAAUAUAAACAAUGAACUUUGAAUAGAGAAAUAGCAGAUUUUUAUGAUAUCGAUGUAAUGAAAAUGAUCUAGGGUUAUGGGCUAUCUAACAUUCCUAUUGUAUUCUUCAAUUGAAUUGACUAACUAAUUUAUCUAGUUUAUUGGUUGAGAGAAUUAAUAUUGUUCAUAAGAAUCUGUCGAGUUCUUACUCGUCUAUUCUAGCUAACCUAACGACUAUAUUUCUAUGGAGUUGGAAUCAACAAGAACGCAUUUAUAAUUCCUGUAAGUUGAUGAUAGGCUAUAAUUGAGUAUUUUAGUCGGUUAUUACACUCUAAUUUACUGCACUUUAAUUGAGUUUGCGCUUUAAUAGCUAGUAUUUUGCACUAACGGUGUGUUUUAUGCCUUGUAGGAGUGAUUCCGAGCUAUAUAGAUUUUAUGGAAUGAAUUCAAGUGAUUUGGAGAUUUGAAGUCUGAGGAAAAGUCCAAGGAAUUAAGUCGAGAUCGUAUUCGGGGAUCAACGAAUGAUAAAACAACAAAACGAAGACUCUAGUAGGCAUAUUACGCACUAUCUAUUAAAAUUCACAUACCUUUUUUCUCAGAACUCUAUUUGGGCUCCACAAUAUAUUGUUGGAAAUCUAACUCAAAGGUCUACAACUUUCAUGUUUUAUGUUUUCCCAAAUUCCAAACGGAACAGGAUGAAAAAUGCGAUUGAAAGUUCACCGCCGUUAUUACCGCGGUCUGCGCCACGGUUUAAGGCAGUGCCUUCCGCGGUCCACGCCGCGACCGCGGCAGUCCAGACGUGAAAUAUUAUUCUUUUUCGUGUAGGAGAAGUUAUAAUUGUUUUGUCCCAACCCUACUUGCUAUAUAUACAUGGAAAAAUGGUUUUUUAAGAGUUUGACAUAUUUUUGACACGGAUUUGACCUAAGGAGGCAAAGACACAAUAGGAGCAAGGCUUGGGGAUUCUUCUACGAGUUUUUCCUUCCUCUUCCUAUUUUUCAUUUUUGGUUAUGACUUUUAGUAUUGUAGUUUCACAUACUAUUAUGAAUAGCUAAUUUGUUAUCUAAGGUUUUGGGUGAAACCCGUUGGGGAUGAAUUAGUUGUUAUAUUAAUAUAGUUUUGAGUUGGUUGUUAAUCUCUAUUUGUUCAACUACUUUUUGGUUUUGGUUAAUUGAAAGGAUACUCAAUUAGUCGUUCCUAUUUAUUAUGUAUCUGCUAGAGAGAGAGUGUAUAUUUAGGUAGUUGUUUGAACAAAAUCACUCCCGGAGGAUAGGCGAGAGUGAUAACGGAGGGUUUAGAGGUUGGAUUAGAGAUAACGAUACCUCGGGUGCGAUCUAAGUGAACUGUAAUGUGAAUCUAGCCAGCGUAGCUUGAGAGAGUGCGUCUAUUAAAUUAUCAUAAUUUCUUGAGAGAGAUUUAUGAUAGCUGGAGAGUUCACGAUUGAUAGAGGCAACUAAGUCAAAGCUAUAAGAAACAUGCAACUAAUGAAAUCAACAACGGGAGAAACCAUUACCUUAGACCUCUUAGUUUAAUCUCCAACCCUUAGUAUCUUUAUUUGUUAAUUUAUUGCUUUAGUUUCUUAUUUAAUUAGUUAGAUACAAGAAUCUCAAUAUUUAUAAAUUAGAAAAUUGUUCAAACUUGUCUUCUUAGUAAUAUUAAACAGAUACAGUUAAGCCUUAGUUAUCUAUGGGGUUCGACUCCGAACUUUUAGACCGGAUUAUAUUUGCUGCAACCACUUAUCCUUUUGAGGACUAGAGGUGGGCGUGAUCAAAUUUUGGCGCCGUUGUUAGGGAACUAACGGUGUAGUUGUAGCUAUAUAUAUUGCUAGGUUUCGAAUUUGAACUUUUAUUUUAUUUUCUUUUGUUUUGUUUUUUUGUAUUUUUCUAUAGCUAUUGAUUGGAGAAACAUGACAUCUUGGAAUUAUGGAAAUUUAGGUGUAGAUAAUUCUACUAUUGAUCUCCAUACAUAUUGUGAAGGAAACCACCUGUGGCAAAAUUUUCAAAGCGUUCCUAAGAGCGAGUUAUGUACACCAACUCAAUCUUAUUUGAGGAAUGUGUGUGAUGUGUGUGGUGGUAAAAAUGGUCACCUUCAUGGUUGUGCUUAUAUUUCUUAUUUUCCCCCAACCCCUUACUAUGAUGGUUCUACCAUUUCUUGUGAAGUUAAUAGCAAUAAAGAACCUGGGAAUGCGGACCUGAAGGAGAUCAAGGAUAUGCUAAAGUGCCUUAUGGAACAAAACAAUGAGAAGCAAUUGCACAUAGAAAGGCAAGAGGCAACUAUUCACAAGUUGGAGGCUCAAUUGAGUCAAGUGGUUGAAGCUUUUAAUGCUCAACAAGCCAAUAUUGAGGACAACAAACAAGAAGAGCAUGAAUUUGAGGUGUUAAUUGGGGAGCUCAGAGUAGAAAGUCAACAACCUAGCCAACCACAAUUUGAGGAUGUCAAUGUUAAAGAAGUGAGACUAGAGCCAGCCAAGAACUUUGAGGAUAUAAAUUUUGUUGACUCUAGUAUCACUGAUGUUGAGGAUGUUGAAUGUCCUGAAGUUCAUGUGUUUGAGCGCAUUGGUCCACACUCCAAGCAUUUUUCCACGUUAUGUUUGGAUGAUGAUAUGGAAAUAGAGUCAUGUGAACCAAUCGAAGAGUCAAGGAAUGAGGAACAAGGUGCAUAUAUUCUGGAAUUUUUCUUGCCAAAAAGUCGGGAUUACAUACCUCAUACAAAGGCCAAGGAGUGAAGAAUACUAUAUUAUUUCCUUGGGCCAGUUAGAUCCAUUACACCGCCCCAUGACCAUAAUCAUAAGCUUGAAUCAAAACUUGGGGUUCAAUUCAUAAGCUCAAGGUGGAGGCAAAACGUUAUUCGCGUCGUGCCGCGACGUUAAAUCAAGCGCAUGUUGGGAGGCAACCCAACUUUAUUUUUAUUUUAUUUUUUUAAUUGUAUUAUUUUUGUAGUGUCAAUUUUUUAUUUUCUAGGAGCAUGUAAAGCAAAGGUAUUGGAAGGAUGCAACAACAAACCAAAUAGUUGGAACUAAGUGUGAGGUACUCGCGUGAAGGACCAAGCUUGGGAGAAGUCUGAGUAACCCAUGAGCUGUUAAUGCUUCGGCCUUUAGCCUAUCGGGGAGUCUCUUUUACCCUUUUAUUAGUUAUGGUGUGCAUCGAGGACAAUGCAUAAUUUUAAGUGUAGGGUNNNNNNNNNNNNNNNNNNNNNNNNNNNNNNNNNNNNNNNNNNNNNNNNNNNNNNNNNNNNNNNNNNNNNNNNNNNNNNNNGAUAGAUCUAUUAGACAAUUUUCUUGAGGGAUUUAAGUCUAAAUAAAAAAAACAAAAAGAUUUUCUAUUGUUAGGUAGUGUAGAAAUUACCCUUUGGUUUUUCUUUAAACCACGGUUCUUUUCCAAGGGCUUUAUUUGAACCGGGUGUAGAUAUUAUUUUUGGGAGUAGGAGCCAUUGUGUUGUGUUUUGAAGUAAAGCAAUAAUAUCUCUUGACUUUGUUAUGCCUUGAGAAUAGUGAGUACUUUGGUUGUGACACUUAAGCUCAGUUUUUGACUCUUGUAUAAGUACCUUAAAUUGUGUGUUCUUAAAAUUGCUUAACUGCUUUAACUAGAGUGUCCAUGAAUCCAAUCCUGAGUGAGUUAUGUGUCAUGUGUGUGUGAGGUUUUUUGUAUUCUGUGCAUUACAUUUGAUGUCUAGAACUUGCCCUGUGUAUUUGCAAAGCGAAAUAGUAGUUUUGUUCAGUCUUGGAAGUGAUAUAGGCGUUUUUUUGUUGAGCCAGAUAUGUAUAUUUUACCACCUAAUUGUUAUAUAUCGUAGUUAACCCAUUUGAGCCUGUAAUCUUGUUUAUUUGGCAACCACAUUACAAGCCUUAUCCAUUUGUUGGAAUUAACCAUUUAUUUGAACCAUUGUAACCUCUCAUGAGCACUUGAAUUAUUUAUGAACUUUAUAAAAGUUAAAGUGUGGGGUGCUUGGUUUGGCUUUUGAGUGGAACUAAUGAAAUAAGGAGAAAGGUGCAUUGUUUUGAAAAAGUAAAAGCCACUUGAAUUGAAAAAAAAAUAACUGGAUUGUUGUGAAAAAAUAAUUUCUUGUGGUGGUGGCUUUUGAUGUAAGUGUGCGUAAAGAAGAAUGGGGUAAUAUACAUUGAUGUGAAGGUGAAGUUUGGUUUGACAUAAGUAUUGUGUUUGUAUGUCAAAGUAUAUGUAUUAAAGUGUUUAGGGAGGUGUAGUCGCUCUUAUAUCUUAAUGUAUCCUACCCGUCCCGUAGCCUACACUAUAACCAAAUAAAGUCCUAAUUGAUCCAAGAUUGAAUGAGCUCGAUUAGUGGAGUAUUACACUACGGGCAAGCUUAUGGUGCAUCUUUUGUGGCAUAUGAAUAUUAUUUCUGAGAGUGAGUGAAUUCUUUCUAUCUUGAGUUCCUAAGUGUUCUUAAAUUUUAUUGUAUGGAACUACUCUCUUUUGNNNNNNNNNNNNNNNNNNNNNNNNNNNNNNNNNNNNNNNNNNNNNNNNNNNNNNNNNNNNNNNNNNNNNNNNNNNNNNNNNNNNNNNNNNNNNNNNNNNNNNNNNNNNNNNNNNNNNNNNNNNNNNNNNNNNNNNNNNNNNNNNNNNNNNNNNNNNNNNNNNNNNNNNNNNNNNNNNNNNNNNNNNNNNNNNNNNNNNNNNNNNNNNNNNNNNNNNNNNNNNNNNNNNNNNNNNNNNNNNNNNNNNNNNNNNNNNNNNNNNNNNNNNNNNNNNNNNNNNNNNNNNNNNNNNNNNNNNNNNNNNNNNNNNNNNNNNNNNNNNNNNNNNNNNNNNNNNNNNNNNNNNNNNNNNNNNNNNNNNNNNNNNNNNNNNNNNNNNNNNNNNNNNNNNNNNNNNNNNNNNNNNNNNNNNNNNNNNNNNNNNNNNNNNNNNNNNNNNNNNNNNNNNNNNNNNNNNNNNNNNNNNNNNNNNNNNNNNNNNNNNNNNNNNNNNNNNNNNNNNNNNNNNNNNNNNNNNNNNNNNNNNNNNNNNNNNNNNNNNNNNNNNNNNNNNNNNNNNNNNNNNNNNNNNNNNNNNNNNNNNNNNNNNNNNNNNNNNNNNNNNNNNNNNNNNNNNNNNNNNNNNNNNNNNNNNNNNNNNNNNNNNNNNNNNNNNNNNNNNNNNNNNNNNNNNNNNNNNNNNNNNNNNNNNNNNNNNNNNNNNNNNNNNNNNNNNNNNNNNNNNNNNNNNNNNNNNNNNNNNNNNNNNNNNNNNNNNNNNNNNNNNNNNNNNNNNNNNNNNNNNNNNNNNNNNNNNNNNNNNNNNNNNNNNNNNNNNNNNNNNNNNNNNNNNNNNNNNNNNNNNNNNNNNNNNNNNNNNNNNNNNNNNNNNNNNNNNNNNNNNNNNNNNNNNNNNNNNNNNNNNNNNNNNNNNNNNNNNNNNNNNNNNNNNNNNNNNNNNNNNNNNNNNNNNNNNNNNNNNNNNNNNNNNNNNNNNNNNNNNNNNNNNNNNNNNNNNNNNNNNNNNNNNNNNNNNNNNNNNNNNNNNNNNNNNNNNNNNNNNNNNNNNNNNNNNNNNNNNNNNNNNNNNNNNNNNNNNNNNNNNNNNNNNNNNNNNNNNNNNNNNNNNNNNNNNNNNNNNNNNNNNNNNNNNNNNNNNNNNNNNNNNNNNNNNNNNNNNNNNNNNNNNNNNNNNNNNNNNNNNNNNNNNNNNNNNNNNNNNNNNNNNNNNNNNNNNNNNNNNNNNNNNNNNNNNNNNNNNNNNNNNNNNNNNNNNNNNNNNNNNNNNNNNNNNNNNNNNNNNNNNNNNNNNNNNNNNNNNNNNNNNNNNNNNNNNNNNNNNNNNNNNNNNNNNNNNNNNNNNNNNNNNNNNNNNNNNNNNNNNNNNNNNNNNNNNNNNNNNNNNNNNNNNNNNNNNNNNNNNNNNNNNNNNNNNNNNNNNNNNNNNNNNNNNNNNNNNNNNNNNNNNNNNNNNNNNNNNNNNNNNNNNNNNNNNNNNNNNNNNNNNNNNNNNNNNNNNNNNNNNNNNNNNNNNNNNNNNNNNNNNNNNNNNNNNNNNNNNNNNNNNNNNNNNNNNNNNNNNNNNNNNNNNNNNNNNNNNNNNNNNNNNNNNNNNNNNNNNNNNNNNNNNNNNNNNNNNNNNNNNNNNNNNNNNNNNNNNNNNNNNNNNNNNNNNNNNNNNNNNNNNNNNNNNNNNNNNNNNNNNNNNNNNNNNNNNNNNNNNNNNNNNNNNNNNNNNNNNNNNNNNNNNNNNNNNNNNNNNNNNNNNNNNNNNNNNNNNNNNNNNNNNNNNNNNNNNNNNNNNNNNNNNNNNNNNNNNNNNNNNNNNNNNNNNNNNNNNNNNNNNNNNNNNNNNNNNNNNNNNNNNNNNNNNNNNNNNNNNNNNNNNNNNNNNNNNNNNNNNNNNNNNNNNNNNNNNNNNNNNNNNNNNNNNNNNNNNNNNNNNNNNNNNNNNNNNNNNNNNNNNNNNNNNNNNNNNNNNNNNNNNNNNNNNNNNNNNNNNNNNNNNNNNNNNNNNNNNNNNNNNNNNNNNNNNNNNNNNNNNNNNNNNNNNNNNNNNNNNNNNNNNNNNNNNNNNNNNNNNNNNNNNNNNNNNNNNNNNNNNNNNNNNNNNNNNNNNNNNNNNNNNNNNNNNNNNNNNNNNNNNNNNNNNNNNNNNNNNNNNNNNNNNNNNNNNNNNNNNNNNNNNNNNNNNNNNNNNNNNNNNNNNNNNNNNNNNNNNNNNNNNNNNNNNNNNNNNNNNNNNNNNNNNNNNNNNNNNNNNNNNNNNNNNNNNNNNNNNNNNNNNNNNNNNNNNNNNNNNNNNNNNNNNNNNNNNNNNNNNNNNNNNNNNNNNNNNNNNNNNNNNNNNNNNNNNNNNNNNNNNNNNNNNNNNNNNNNNNNNNNNNNNNNNNNNNNNNNNNNNNNNNNNNNNNNNNNNNNNNNNNNNNNNNNNNNNNNNNNNNNNNNNNNNNNNNNNNNNNNNNNNNNNNNNNNNNNNNNNNNNNNNNNNNNNNNNNNNNNNNNNNNNNNNNNNNNNNNNNNNNNNNNNNNNNNNNNNNNNNNNNNNNNNNNNNNNNNNNNUUCCUUCUUCCUUAUUUUUCUAUUGUUGGUUAUGUACUUUUAGUAUUAUAGUUUUACAUACUAUUAUAAAUAGCUAAUUUUUAUCUAAGGUUUGGUGAACCGUUGGGAUGAAUUAGUUGUUAUAUUAAUAUAGUUUUGAGUUGGUUGUUAAUCUCUAUUUGUUCAACUACGUUUUGAUUUUGGUUAAUUGAAAGGAUACUCAAUUAUCCGUUCCUAUUUAUUAUGUAUCUGCUAGAGAGAGAGUGCAUAUUUAGGUAGUUUUUUGAACAACAUCACUCCCGGAGGAUAGGCGAGAGUCAUAACCGAGGGUUUAGAGGUUGGAUUAGAGAUAACGAUACCUCGGGUGCGAUCCAAGUGAACUGUAAUGUGAAUCUAGCUAGUGUAGCUUGAGAGAGUGCGUCUAGUAAAUUAUCAUAAUUGCUUGAGAGAGAUUUAUGAUAGCUGGAGAGUUCAUGAUUGAUAGAGGCAACUAAGUCAAAGAUAUAAGAAUCAUGCAAUUAAUGAAAUCAACAACGGGGGAAACCAUUACCUUAGACCUCCAUAAUUUAAUCUCCAACCCUUAGUAUCUUUAGUUGUUAAUUUACUGCUUUAGUUUCUUAUUUAAUUAGUUAGAUACAAGAAUCUCAAUCUUUAUAAAUUAGAAAAUUGUUCGAACUUGUCUUCUUAGUAAUAUUAAACAGAUACAUCUAAGCCUUAGUUCUCUGUGGGAUUCGACUCCGGACUUUUAGACCGGAUUAUAUUUGCAGCGACCGUUUAUCCUUUUUAGAGUUGGGCGUGAUCAUAAAUAAACAAAGCAAGGCAAUCAAGUAUAUGUCUAUCCUAACCGCGAAUCCGUUCUCCGAUGCCCAGGUUCAACAACUUGCUCUACUCAAUCCUAUAUGCAAUCUAAAAUUCUCACUUUCGAGUUCAACUCUAGAUUCGUAGAUAGUAUUCAAUUGGUGAUCAAGCAAUCAAACAAUUAAGUGCAAGAUUGAAUAAAUAAACCAAUAUGAUAAAUCAAGAAAUCAAAAUUAAUAUUCGAAUAACAAUAGUCAUGAAAGAACCACAACCCUAGAACGGGAGGUUUAGCUCCACAUAGACAUGGAAGCAAAACAACAAAUCAUACAAAUAAACAUAAAAAUUACUCAGUUUGGUGGAAGAAAAGAUGAAACCCGACCUCCACGGUAGCUCUGUACUCUUCCUAGGUCUAAGAUGUGUUAAAAGUCCUCAAAAUAACGUUUUAUAUGUAUUUAUGCCAAGUAAGGUUUGGCCCAGACAAAAACACCUUCUUCCGCGCGAAAUAGGACUCUGGAUCUGUAAAUUUUUUACAAUCGCGCCACACCCUGCGGCGCGCCAUGCGGCGCGCUAAUGGAGUUUAUCAGCAGGCUUCACUUUUCUUGUCAGGCCAGUUUUUACACUGCUAUGCCGCACCCUGUGGCAUCCUAUGUGGCAAGGUAUUGAGAAUUUGCAAAAAUUCAAACAUGAAAGUUGUAGCCCUUUUGAAUAGCUUUCCAACGAUAUCUUGUGGAGCCCAAACGAAGUUCUGAGCGAAACGUUAUGUGCAUUUUACUAGACAAUGCGCCGUAUGCCCGCUCGAUUCUUCGUUUCAUUCUUAACUAUCAUCCAUUGAUCCCCGAACACGAUCCCGACUUAAUUCCUUGGGAUUUUACUCAGACUUUAAAGCUCCAAAUCAGUUGAAUUCAUUCCAUAAUAUUUACAUAGCUCAGAAUCACUCCUACAAGGCAUAAAACACAUAUUUAGUGCAAAACACUAGCGAUUAAAGCUUAAACUCAAUUAAAGUGCAGUAAAUUAGAGUGUAAUAAGCGACUAAAAAUUCAAUUAUAGCCUAUCAUCAACAGGAAUGUGUGGAGGUCGAGCAUUUGGGUUGUAAGUUAAGGGGUAGUCGAGCGUUUCUCCUCGUUGUGUCGGCUUGGCAUUUUGUCUAGGACUACGAUUUUGUUGUAUUUCACAUUUUUUAUGUUUUUCACAUUUUGGACUUUCUAUUUAUUUAUUGUCUUUUACAAUGUUGAUUCUAUUUUUUAGGUUUCGGCUAUUGUUACGGAUCUAUUGUCUCUGAGCCGAGGGUCUCCCGGAAACAACCUCUCCAUCCCUCCGGGUUAGGGGUAAGGUCUGCGUACACUCUACUCUUCCAAGACACUCUACUCCCCCAUUAGUUUUGGUGAAGCAUUUCUUUAGCAAAACUUAUUAGGUUAGUAAAUCUUAACUCGUUUCUUCAUUUUCCAUCAAUAUCUAUUGAAUUCCUAAGCCUAAAUCAUGUAAUUUAGGGUAGAAAUUGGGGAUUUGAGUAGAGUUAGGGCUUUUUGAUUUUUCUUGAUUUAGACCUUGUUUUGAGGUCGAAUUUGAAAAUAAAUUAUAUAUUCGGGCUCGUGGGGGAAUGGGUGAUAUGAAUUUGGUCCAAACCUCGUGUUUCGACCAAGUGGGCCCGGGGUCGAUUUUUGGAAUUUUGGGAAGAAUGUUUGGAAAGCUAUAAUUAGACAUUGGAUUCGAUUUCUUUAGCUUUUAUUGAUGUAUUGAAGUCAUUAUUGUAUAUAUUUGAUUGAUUUGGAGCCGAAUUCGAGAGGGAAAGCGGUUGUUGUGGAUUGAUUUGGUCGUGGAAGUUUGAGGUAAGUAUUCGGUCUAACUUUAGCUUGAGGGAUUGGGAGUCGAGUCAUAUUUACUACUUGUUUUGUGUUGUGUACGACGUAUAGGCAUUGUGACAGGUAUCUAUACGUUGGUGUCGAGCAUGACUGUGAGUCCUAAAUUGCUAAAUUGUUGUAUUCUUAAUUGAUCCUAUGAGAACUUUGAUAGAUGAUGUUUGAUACUGAGCAAGUAAUUAGUUAUUUCCGUGGACUUUGGUUAUGACUGAGUACUGGUGUUAGUUGUGUUAUGUAGAAAUUGAAUAGGAUUGGUUAUAGCUGAAUCUCCCUUGUCGGGGAAUCAUUAUGUUAUCUUGUUCCCAUUCCAGAAAAUCAUUAUAUUAUCUUGUUCCCUUGCCGUGAUUCUCUUUGUAAUGCUGUGUUGGAUCGAAAUGGGAGCGGGUGGUACGCCUAUCAUAGGAUUUAUGAAAUGGGAGCGGGUGGUACGCCUGCCACAUGAUUUAUAAAAUGGGAGUGGGUGGUAUACCUACCAUAAGGUUCAUUAAAUAGGAGUGGGUGGUACGCCUACCACAAGAUUGAUGAAAUGGGAGAGGGUGGUACGCCUACCACAUGACAUUAUGAAAUGGGAGCGGGUGGUACGCCUACCACGAGAUAAAUGGGAUCGGGUUGCACGUAUACAACAAGAUGAAACUUAAAAUGAAAGUUGUCUUUAUGUCUUUAUUCCGUGUUAGAAUUUAAACUGUAGUAUUUUCCAGAUUAUUCAUGAGAUUCUGCUUUUAUCUGCUACCCCCGAAACAUGUUUCCCCCUCCCAGCUUUAAUUGUUUAUUUCUAUUGUUUCUCCGUUGUAUUUGUAUAUAUAUAUAUAUAUAUAUAUAUAUAUAUAUAUCUGCACAGGUUUAUCAGGAGUCUGGUCCUAGCCUCGUCAUUAUCUCGCCGGGGUUAGGCCAGACACUUACCAGCACAUGGUGUCGGUUGUGCUGAUGCUACACUCUGUGCUCUUUGGAGCAGCAGUAGCCAUGGAGCAUUCCUUCAGUCCACGAGAUUCCCGAGGGAGUCCUGCAGGCGUCCGCAGGCCCGGUAUCUCUUCAACCUUUUCCUUCCCUGUUUCCCUUAUACCGAGACAGAGUUUAUUUAUUUUGUUUCAGACUUUUGUGUUUAGCAUUCCAAGAUAGUCCAUGAAAUCUUAUGAUACCAGGUGCUGGGUAGAGACUUGUAUCGAUAUUUUAGACGCUAUUUCCAUAUGUAGUUUAGACUUCCGCCAUUUUUUAUUAAUCGUCGUCUUUUAAUUGCUUAUUCUUCAAUCAUUUAAUGGUUUUAAUCAUGUAUAAAAUGAGAUAGAAUAAUAUUUGCAAAUGUUCAUGGCUUUCCUAGCUUUCACGAGUAGGCGCCAUCACGACUCUCGAGGGUGGGAAUUCCGGAUCGUGACAAGUUGGUAUCAGAGCACUAGGUUGCAUAGGUCUCACAACUCGCAGACAAACUUAGUAAAGUCUGAAGGAUCGGUACAGAGACGUCUGUAUUUAUCCCCAGAGGCGAUAGAGUUAGGAAAACUUCACAUUUGUUCUUUCUUGUCGUGCAAUUUUUUUUUCUGAAAUACUGAUUGCCUUUCUACUCUGUUCUUUCGUAGAUGGCGAGAACACGUGCUUCCUCAUCUACCGCUCAGCAGCCCGAGCCCCCAGCAACAUCUCCCACUAAGGGAAGAGGGUGAGGCCAAGGCCGUGCCAGAGGCGGAGGUAGGGGCAGAGCUCAGCCCCGAGCAACAACACCAGUGGCGGAGCCCCAGGUUGAUUUUGAUGACGAGGUUCCGGCCCCAGCAGUUCCAGUGGGCCUAGCUCAGGUCCCAGAGGGGUUUAUUGCUACCCCAGUUCUUCAGGACUCUCUAGUGUUGGCCCAAGUUCAGUUGGAGUUUUGAAGAUUGACAAAUGAACUCAGGGAAGGACCUGGUCCAUCUUGAGAGACACAGUUAGUCAUAACCAUUGCACAUGGAAGGCACGUGAGGAAGAUAUGUAUUGAAGAUUACGCAGCAAAUAUCUUCUGAACGGAAUUGAAAAGAUUGCAUUGAGCUCUAAGGAGGACAGUCUCCUUAUGAUAAGAGAACACAAUCCUAAGCUAGGAUAAUGAUGGGAGUUUGUAUUGGUUAAGGACUCAAAUCGACUAAGGAUAAGCAUUGGAGUCUCGAUUAAACUCUAACUGCUAAUCUAUUAAAUAACCAAGCUGUUCUCUUUUACAGGUAAUGCACAUACGCAGAAGUUAAGCAUAUUUGAGAGCAAAAAGAGCAAGUCUAAUUUGCGAGCAAUAUAUGUGAGAUACAAGUGUGCACCUCUGAAGCUACAUGAACUAAGAUAGAAGAACCAGUUUCAUCAUUGUGUUUAUUCUAAGUCUAGUUCAAUUUUAGUAGGUUUUCAUAUUGUACCUUUCAGCUUUCUUAGAAGCAAUUGUAUUAGGUACUCUGAGUAUUCAAGUUAGAGUUAACUUGAAAGUGUCGCAACAGUUGAGGCUAUGUACCACAUUGGGAUUAGAGUUAAUCCUUAGGUUUACAAAGAGUUUUGUAAAUGUAGUUUUUGGCUCAGUGAUUUUAGUGGAGUUUGGGAAAAUCCUACUGAGUAGUAGGUCGUGGUUUUUUCACCUUUUAAGCCAGGUGUUUUUCACGUAAAAAUCUCUGUGUACUUUACUUUCAGUAUUUAUUAUUCCGCAAACUGCUGUAGUUAGAACACUUAGAAGAACCUGGUUCUUCUAACGCGAAAAUUAGGUACCACACAAAUCACCCCCCCCCCUCUUGUGUGGUAUUGAUGUUUAUAACAUCAAUUGGUAUCAGAGCAGGUUAUCCUUGAAGAGGUUAACACCUUAGGAAAAGAUCAACAUUAGUGCACCACCUGGGAACUGGGAAGGGCAAUCCACUGCCAGGACUCCUCUCUUCAAUGGCCUCUACUACUCCUGGUGGAAAAACAGAAUGAGGGACCAUAUCAUGGGCGAAGACUAUGAGCUUUGGGAUAUCAUCACCGAUGGUCCUUUAGCCACAACCAAGAAGACUGUUGAAGGGUUGGAUGUUCCAAAGACAAGAGCAGAUUGUACUGCUGAAGAUCUAAAGAAGUGGGAGAAAAAUGCGAAGGCCAAGAAAUGGCUAGUGUGUGGACUUGGUCCUGAUGAGUACAGCAGGAUUCAAGGUUAUACUACUGCCAAAGAGAUUUGGGACACUUUACAAAUGGCUCAUGAAGGAACACCUCAGGUGAAGAGGUCAAGAGGAACACUGUUGUAUUCUCAAUAUGAGAAUUUUACUAUGAAGGAUGGAGAAACUAUCCAAGAGAUGUAUACCAGGUUCACUACACUGACAAAUGAACUUGAGUCUCUUGGAAGGAUUAUCCUGGAAGAAGACAAGGUGGAGAAGAUUCUAACUAGUGUUCUGCCAAUCUCCUGGGAAAGCAAAAUCAGUGCUAUUCAGGAAUCCAAAAACAUUGCUACUUUAAAAUUGGAUGAACUCAUUAGAAAUCUUACUGCCUAUGAAUUGAGAAGGCGGACAAUGAAGAUGGAUGCUCCAAAGAAAGAAAUAAGUCUAGCUCUCAGAAUCUCAGAAGGAUCAGAUCUUGAAGAUGAUGAAAUGGCUAUGAUAACCAGAGAUUUCAAGAAAUAUCUUAUGAGAGGAAAGGGUCCUUCAAAAGGAACAACAUUCAACAAACCUAGGGCUCUUGAGAAACAAACCAAUGAGGGGUGUUACAAGUGUGGGAAGACUGAUCACCACAUCAGAAAUUGCCCUCAAUGGUAGGUUGAAUGGAAGAAAGAAAGAGCAGAUAGAAGAAACAGGAAGAAGGAACAGGUUCAACCAAGAAGGAACAAAGGAUCAACUAAAGUUGUGGUUGCUGUAUGGGGAGAAACAUCAGAUAAGGACUCAGAAAAUAAAGCUGAAGAUGAGCAAGCUCUUAUGGCCAUUGGAGAAUCAGAAGAUGAACAGGUGGUAAGUAUUUUACAUCUUAAAGAAAAGAUUAAGUUCUUGUCUAAAGAAAAAUUGGCUGAUCUACUGAUGGACUUCAUAGAUGAGUUUGAAAUAAUAAACAAUGAGAAGGAUGUUCUGUCUAGGGAAUGUGUUAUCCUAGAAGAAAAAUGCAAAAGGUUAGAGUCUAGGGCUGAUGAGAGUGACAACACAAAUACUGAGUUGAAGAACCAGGUUCAUCAACUUGAAAAUAAGGUCCUAGAACUUAGAUCUGAAAAUAUUAAACUGAAAUUAGGGACAGGAAAGAAAAGGGUUGAUCAAUCAUUUCUCACUCUAGAAGAAAAUCUAGGAAAAAUGAAAGAUGAACUGUACAAGAAAGAUGAAUUGAUUAAAGUCCUAAAAGAAGAUUUAGGAAAGGUAAAGCAUGAACUAGGCAGAACAUGCAAAUGGAACAAGGCUUCCGACGCACUCUCCUGGCUGCAAGAACAUCAUAGUAGCAAUAAGAGAGGACUUGGAUUUGGGACACAAGCUCCAAAAUGGGAUCCCAAAAACAAGUACCUCACAAUUCCUAAGAAUAAGAUCUGCACACACUGUGGUAAGACUGGCCAUUACAAAAAUGAAUGUAAUACAAAAGAAAAGGCCAGUCAAAAGAAUAAAGCAUUUGUUCAAGAAAAGCACAAACUGCCUGGUUGGGCAAAGAAAAAUAUAAUUCAUCCUUUUGCCCAUAGAAAGGGACCCAAACUAGUUUGGGUUCCUAAGACUAACCCAUGAUUUCUUUUUGCAGGUCCAAGUGAAGGGGAGUAGCCAAAUAUGGUACAUGGAUAGUGGUUGCUCAAAACAUAUGACGGGUAACAAGGAUCAGUUCCUUUCACUUGAGAACCUAAAAGGAGGUAAUGUCUCCUUUGGAAAUGGAAAGAAAGGUGAGAUCAUUGGAGUUGGAAAGGUAGGAAAGAUAUACUCUCAUUCCAUUGAGAUGUCUAUUUGAUAGAUGGCUUAAAAUAUAGCCUGAUAACUGUGUCACAACUGCGUGAUAGAGGUAACCUUGUGGCUUUCACUUCCACAAAAUGUUUUGUGAUUAGCCUUACUACUGACAAGAUUAUUUUGCAGGGAAGGAGAGUUAACAAUAUUUACAUUAUAGAUCUGUCAAAUCUCUCUGAAAAUGAACUCACUUGCUUGAGUGUGUUAAUUAAUGAUCCCCUCCUUUGGCACAAAAGACUUGGCCAUGCCAAUCUAAAUCAAUUGAACAAAUUAGUCUCCAAGGACUUGGUGGUAGGGUUACCUAAUAUCAAGUUCAAGGAAGACAAAGUUUGUGAGGCAUAUGCAAGGGGGAAGCAGGUAAGGUCAUCCUUCAAACCCAAGAAAAUGGUAAGUACGUCCAAGAUGUUGGAACUGGUUCAUAUGGAUCUUUGUGAUCCAAUGAGAUCCAUGAGCAGAGGUGGUAAAAGAUAUGUAAUGGUGCUUGUUGAUGAUUAUUCUAGAUUUACCUGGGUGUUGUUUCUAACUUCUAAAGAUGAAGCAUUUGAAAUGUUCACUGUUUUGUUAGAAAAACCCAGAAACAAUUAGGAAAUCAACUUGCAUCCAUUAGGUCUGAUCAUGGAACUGAAUUUGAAAAUGCAAAGUUUGCUGAAUUUUGUGACAAAAAUGGAAUAGAUCAUAAUUUCUCUGCCCCUAGGACUCCUCAGCAAAAUGGGGUAGUUGAGAGGAAGAACAGGACCCUUGAUGAUAUGGCAAGGACCAUGCUUCUUUUCAAUAAACUACCUUAUAGCUUCUGGGCAGAAGCUAUAAACACUGCUUGUUAUAUAAUAAAUAGAUGCAUGACCAGACCUCCUGUAGAGAAAACUCCUUAUGAGUUACUUAAAGGGAGAAAACCAAACAUAUCUCAUCUUAGGGCUUUUGGUUGCAAGUGAUAUGUGCACAAUAAUGGCAAAGACUCCCUAGGUAAGUUUGAUCUCAUAACUGAUAAGGGAGUAUUCUUGAGAUAUUUUUCACAUAGCAAAGCAUAUAAAGUGUUUAAUAAAAGAACUCUGUGUGUUGAAGAAAGUGUACAUGUUGUGUUAGAUGAAUCUAACACUCUUUCUAAGAGACAGGAACAUGAAGAUGAAGCCAUUGGACUGGUGAGACAAUUGACUGAAGCCACAGCACAAGUCAAGGUGGCAUCAAAGGAAGGAGUAGGUGAUGGAACAGGUCCUUCGACCCAGGGCAACCUGACUGGUGGAACCAAUUUGAGAGAAACUGAACAAAAUUCUCUGAAGGAUCUUAUACCUGAACCUGUUCCUCUGCAGCAUAACAAUAAAGGAGCAACUAGCAGGAACCAGCUAGUGGGGAAAUCUUACAAGUACCUAAGUUCUCAUCCCAUUGAGAACAUCAUCAAUGAUCCAACAUCGGGAGUUAAGACUAGAUCACAACUGAAGAACCUGUGUGCAUUUGAUGCCUUUCUAUCCCUCAUUGAACCUAAAAAUGUGAGUGAAGCUCUACAAAAUGCAGAUUGGGUCAAUGCUAUGCAAGAUGAGCUCAAUCAGUUUGAAAGAAGCCAAGUCUGGCACUUGGUUUCAAGACCUAAGGACAGGUCAAUCAUUGGGACAAAAUGGGUCUUCAGGAACAAACUAGAUGAAGAUGGAACAGUUACAAGAAACAAGGCAAGUUUGGUGGUUCGAGGCUAUAGUCAAGAGGAAGGCAUUGAUUAUGAUGAGACUUUUGCUCUAGUUACUAGACUUGAAGCCAUUAGACUCCUCAUAGCCUUUGCAGCACAUAUGGAAUUCACUCUUCAUCAAAUGGAUGUCAAAAGUGCCUUCCUAAAUGGCUAUCUCAAAGAAGAAGUAUUUGUGAAACAACCUCCAGGAUUCGAAAGCAAAGAAUGUCCUGAUCAUGUAUACAAGCUAGAUAAAGCUCUCUAUGGUCUCAAGCAGGCCCCAAGAGCUUGGUAUGAAAGAUUGUCAAAAUUUCUUCUGGAGUAUGGGUACAAAAGAGGUAAAAUUGACAGCACUUUGUUCCUAAGGGAAAAAGAUAAAUAUCUUCUUGUUGUACAAAUAUAUGUUGAUGACAUAAUAUUUGGGGCCACUACAGAUAGGCUAAGUAAGGACUUUGCUAAACUAAUGGGAAGUGAGUUUGAAAUGAGCAUGAUGGGUGAACUUAAUUUCUUCUUGGGGCUACAGAUUAAACAAAGUCCAGAUGGAACUAUGAUCCAUCAGCAGAAGUAUACGAAGGAACUAAUCAAGAAGUUUAAAAUGGAAGAAUCCAAAGAAAUAGAUACACCUAUUGCAACUGCCACAAAGCUAGAUGUUGAUGAACCUGGUUCAUCAGUUGAUCAAAAGUUGUAUAGGGGUAUGAUUGGUUCACUUUUGUAUCUUACUGCCAGUAGACCUGACAUUGUUUUCAGUAUAGGACUUUGUACUCGUUUCCAGGCAAAUCCAAAAGAGUCACAUUUGACAGCUGUCAAAAGAAUAUUGAGAUACUUGAAAGGCACAACUGAUCUGUGUUUGUGGUAUCCCAAAGGUAGUAAUUUUGACUUAAUUGGAUAUGUUGAUGCUGACUAUGCAGGUUUUCUAGUGGAUAAGAAGAGCCCUUCAGGUAUGGCACACUUUCCAGGGUCUUGUCUUGUAUCAUGGGCUACCAAAAAGCAAAAUUCAGUGGAUCUCUCUACUGCUAAAGCUGAAUAUGUCGCUGCUGCUUCAUGUUAUGCUCAAUUACUAUGGAUUAAGAAAUAACUGGUAGACUUUGGAACUGAAGUGGGGUGCAUACCAAUAUUUUGUGAUAACACCAGUGCAAUUAGUAUGAUAAAGAACCAUGUUCAUCACAAAAGGACUAAGUACAUAGAUGUUAGACACCACUUCUUAACAGACAACUAUGAGAAAGGGCUAAUCUCCAUAGAAUUCUGUGUUACUGAUAAACAAAUAGCUGACAUCUUCACUAAGGCACUGAGUAGAGAAAACUUUGAAAGGAACAGGUUGGAGUUAGGAAUGAUUAAGAUCACCCAAAAAGUCCAGUUCAGAAUGCACAAUGAAAAAAAAUUAUAUAUUGAAAAAAAUAAUUUUGGUUAGGAGUUCUUAAUUUUUGUGAAUAUUAGACUAAUUCCUACUUAGUCUCAUACUGUAAACAGUAUACUCUUGUGACAUGUGUUUAUACGAUUCACUAAUCUCUUACAAAUUUUCUAUUUUGACAUUUGAGGCAUAAUCAAGAGAAGUUUCACUUGAAGAACCUGGUUCAUCAAAAUAUGCUCAUGAGAAAGUUCAGGUAUAUUUCUAUACUUUGCACAUUUAGUAAAAAUUCAAUUAUCAAUCGUGAGCAAGAGUCCUAGAUUUACCAAACAUCCUAACAAUUCUAUUUGUUGGGCAAAUUGAACCAGUUUCAUUGAAACUAGAAGUCUAAGUAUAACGGAACCCUCUCCUAAAUUAUAGCAAUCCUAAUUAAUCUCUAAGGAGACCGGAACUCUAAAUUUAUUAGACCUCUAUGUGACCUCGGAAAAACCUGUCGUUUCUGAGUAAUCAUUACCCUCUUUAAAAACCCCAAAACACUCAAUAACCGUCAAUUCUUCACAAAACCCCUGAUCAUCCUCUCUCGUCUCUAAAACUCUCCAAAAUUCUUCACACCACCAAAAUUCCCUUAGAGUCUUCAGAAAUUCUUCACCAUAACAAAUCCUCAAGACAACCCUGGCAUUCCACCACCUGUUUUACCCAACACCACCUUACCUUCCACACCACCAGUCGAAACCCCAAAACCUAGAUUCUGUCGCCAAAAAAUGCUAGCAAGAAAACCUGUAGCUACUAGUUCUCUGAGGAAAGCUUUGAAUGAAAAACUUCAGUCCAGUCAAAAGAAAGUAGUCUCAGCAAAAGAGACCAACUCUAGCUCUGAAUCUGAUGACUACAUCUUCGCCAGUGAAGGAGAUGAACUUGGGUCUUCUGAAAAGGCCAAAAUUCAAGAAACCCAAGGAGAGGUAAAGUCUUGCUUUGUUUUUUUUGAUGUAGUUCAGAGGGAGGAAAAUUGAUUUAUUCUGAUAGGGGCUGCUAGAGAUAUAGGUGGGAUUAAUUCUGGGAAAAUGAGGAAGAAAAAGAAGAAGGAGUUUUUAGCCAUAUGUGGGAGUGGGGAAGAGGGAGUCUCAAAGUCAGGGGAAAGUGGAUCAGGUGAGGCUGCUGAGGGUUUGGUUAAUCUGAGCAAACAACAAGAUAAACCUGGUUCAUCUGGAGAAGAGAGCUUGGUUGAUUUGUUGAAGAAAGUGGGGUCCAGCUAUGACCCAAAGAAACGCAAGGCUUCCUCACAAAGGACUCCUACUACGUCCAAACCAACCAAGAAAAGCAAACCUUCAUCACCCAAGACUGCUCCUAGGAUUAGAGCUACCAGAAGUAGGGUUAGGGAAAGUGAAGUAGAGUUGAAGAAGGCUUUAGAAGAAAGUAAGAAAAAGAGGAAAGAGAAAGGGAAAUCAAAGAUAGGUGAAAGCUCGGAGGCUGUGGUUGAAGAGGAAGAAGAAGAGAUGGAGCAGGUCCAUCUAGAAAAGAGUACUACUGUGGAUGUUCCCACUACCAAAUCAAAGGGAACCAGGACUUCUGCCAAGAAGCCCUCCAAGCCAGUACCUGCUGAACCUGUUCUUGCCAAGAGAACAAGGUUAGCUGCAAAAGGAAAACAAGUGAAAAUUACUGAAGAAGAGGAUGAUGAAUGGAGUAAGGAUGAAGAAGACGAGUCAGAGAAGGAACAGGACAGAUAUGCCAUGUUUGGCAAGAGGAAAAAUUUGAAAGGGAGACUACUCAAAGGCCUGGAGGAGCCAGGUAUGAUGAGGCUUGUGACUGCACUAGAAGCACAGGGGUGGAAGGACAUGGUCCUUCAUAUGGAUGGUAAAUUGGCUAGGAAAGAACUUGUAGAGUUCAUGGCAAACGGGACAGUGAAGAAUAGGCUAGUGACUAGCACAGUAAAAGGUGUCAAAGUGAAGUUCAAUGCUGCAAAGCUGGGCAAGAUUCUAGACAUCCCUAGUGAGGGAUAUGAUGACUAUAUAAGGCAGAGGUGGCCAUGCUUGGAUGGGUUGCCUACUGAUCUUCACAUCACAAGGAAUUUUUGUGACACCACAACAGAUGAAGAGGUACCUGAGGCCAGGGCAGUUCAGAAAAGUGAAAUGAGGCCAGAACACAAAGUGCUUUUUGAGUUUGUCAACAAAUGCCUUUUGCUCAGAUUGGAAAGAAGGCAUACAGCAAAUUAUAUGGAUCUGGUUCUUAUGCAAUGCCUGAAUGAAGGGAAGCAGAUCAACUGGCUUGCCUUUAUUGUGAAGAUGCUUGAAAGGGUGCUCAAUGGCUCAAAAGCUCAUGUCAUUCCCUAUGGAUUUAUCUUUACAACUGUGCUUGAAAGAUUGAAUGUUCCCCUGAAAAGUGGGAAAUGGCUUCCAGCAAAGAGCAUUUUGGCAGCAAAACCCUUCAAGCCUGUGAUUAUCUGCUCAGUACAGGCUCAGUUGAACCUGGUUCUUCGGUAAAGACUCAUGUGAACAGCAAGGUCAGAGCCUUGGCUAAAGAGGUUGGGACAAAGGAUGCUGAGAUAGCAAGGCUUCAUACUAGAGUUGUUGAAUUGGAGGGAGAAAGGAAUGGGUUGAGAGCUGAACUUGCUAAGGAGAAGGAGAAAAAUGAAGGAAUGCUUCAACAAAUGCUCAAUCUGCUACAAACCCAACCCUCCAGCUCUUCUAAGCCUUAGGUGUCAUGUCCUAGUGUGAACCAGUCUAGACCCCCCUCAGUGACCCAGUUUGGGAUAUUAUCUGUUUAUUUCCUUUUUGCUCAUGGUUUGGUAAUUCUGUUUUUCUUCUUGUGGACUGCUAUGUAGAAACACCCCACUAAUCAAUGAAUGCAGCUUUUCUUGCUUUUUGUUAAUUUUGUUCUUAAUAGUUAUUUUUGAUGAGUUGAUUUCUGAUUAACUAAAGCAUGUGUUCACUUGUAGUUUCCCCAGUGGCCAUGAGUGCUAAUUAAAUUACUGGGAUUCACAUUAUUUAUGCAACUUUUCGAUGAUGCCAAAAGGGGGAAGAUAUAUUGUGCUUAAAUUCAUUAUCUGAACAAGUGAUGUUUAUGACCUAACAUAAAUCUGGCCUUUUAUGACAAGUUGAAAAUUGUCUAAGUGUUGAUAUUUAAACUGAGUUUCAUAGGUUCUCUGAUCACUAAAAGCAUAGAGUUUGUCAUCAUCAAAAAGGGGGAAUUUGUUGGCCCAAGUUCAGUUGGAGUAUUGAAGAUUGACAAAUGAACUCAGGGAAGGACCUGGUCCAUCUUGAGAGACAUAGUUAGUCAUAACCAUUGCACAUGGAAGGCACGUGAGGAAGAUAUGUAUUGAAUAUUACGCAGCAAAUAUCUUCUGAACGCAAUCCAAAAGAUUGCAUUGAGCUCUAAGGAGGACAGUCUCCUUAUGAUAAGAGAACACAAUCCUAAGCUAGGAUAAGGAUGGGAGUUUGUAUUGGUUAAGGACUCAAAUCGACUAAGGAUAAGCAUUGGAGUCUAGAUUAAACUCUAACUUCUAAUCUAUUAAAUAACCAAGUUGUUCUCUUUUACAGGGAAUGCACAUACGCAGAAGUUAAGCAUAUUUGAGAUCAAAAAGAGCAAGUCUUAUUUGCGAGCAAUAUAUGUGAGAUACAAGUGUGCACAUCUGAAGCUACAUGAACUACUAUAGAAUAACCAGUUUUAUCAUUGUGUUUAUUCUAAGUCUAGUUCAAUUGUAGUAGGUUUUCAUAUUGUACCUUUCAGCUUUCUUAGAAGCAAUUGUAUUAGGUACUCUGAGUAUUCAAGUUAGAGUUAACUUGAAAGUGUCGCAACAGUUGAGGAUGUGUGCCACACUGGGAUUAGAGUUAAUCCUUAGGUUUACAAAAAGUUUUGUAAAUGCAGUUUUUGGCUCAGUGAUUUUAGUGGAGUUUGGGAAAAUCCUACUGAGUAGUAGGUCGUGGUUUUUUCACCUUUUGAGCCAGGUAUUUUCCACGUAAAAAUCUCUAUGCAUUUUACUUUCAGUAUUUAUUAUUCCGCAAAUUGUUGUAGUUAGAACACUUAGAAGAACCUGGUUCUUCUAACGCGAAAAUUAGAUACCACACAAAUCACCCCCCUCCCCCUCUUGUGUGGUAUUGAUGUUUAUAACAUCAUCUAGUCAGAUUGGUAGGCCUCAUGGAGAGUGUCACCCGAGCGGGUUUACUUCUAGUAGCACCAACCACUUCUUAGGCUAGAAGAGGGGCUCAGACUCCUGCUACACGCAAUAUGGAGCAGGUAGCUCCCCAGGUUCAGGUUCCAACGGUUCAGCCAGCUAUGGCAGUUCAGCCGGGUAUAGUGGCUCAGGUUGGAGAUGGAGCGGCUAUAUCAGCCGAUGCUUUUUAGAGACUGGACAGGCUCACCAAGCUCUUCACUACUACAUUCAGCGGUGCUUCUUUUGAGGAUCCCCAUGAUUUCUUAUAUAGUUGCCACGAGGUUCUCCGGAACAUGGGUAUUGUUGAGACCAAUGGGGUCGAUUUCGCCACCUUUCGCCUAUCUGGAUCCGCCAAGACUUGGUGGAGAGAUUAUUGCUUAGCCAGGCCAGCAGGGUCACCAUCUUUGACAUGGGAGCAGUUUUUAGUGUUGUUUCUGGAGAAGUUUCUCCCUGUUUCUCAGCGAGAGGCCUAUCGGAGGUAGUUUGAGCGACUUCAGCAGGGCUCCAUAACGAUCACUCAUUAUGAGACCAGGUUCAUUGACUUAGCUCGCCAUGCCCUUAUCAUACUUCCCACCGAGAGAGAGCGAGUAAGGAGGUUUAUUGAUGGUCUUAUCCAGCCGAUUUGCCUUCAGAUGGCUAAGGAGGUCGGGAGUGAGAUAAUAUUUUAGGAGGCAGCCAAUGUGGCCCGCAGAGUUGAGAUGGUUCUGUCACAGAGGUGGUCAUGGGUCGGAUAAGAGGCCCCGUCAUUCAGGCAGAUUCAGUGGUACCUCGUCUGGAGGUAGAGAUUCAUAUGGUAGAGGCCAUCUUCCUAGGCCCUUUCAGUCAACUCUCCAGGUCUCUCAUGUUACUUCAGGUGGUCAUGGUUCUCAUCUGCAUUAUUCUGAUCAGCAACCUUACAGUGCACCAUCAGCACCUAGCAGUGCACCACCACUUUAGAGUUUCCAAGGUCGCCAGCCCCAGCAGCCGAGGGCUUAUUUUACUUGUGGAGACACGAGGCACAUUGCUCGGUAUUUCCCUCGAGCUUCGAGCAGUUCUCCGCAUCAGGGUUCUCGUGCCAAUGUACAGGCACCAGAUGUUCCACAGCCCUCCCAGCUAGGCACAGUUGGGGGCAAAGGUGUUUGAGGUGGAGGUAGAGCUCAAGCCGCCAGAGGUGCAGGCCAGCCAGCAGCAGGCCAUCCCAGAGAGGUAGUCCAGGGUGGUGGGGCCUAGCUCUGAUGUUAUACUCUUCCAGCCAAGCCCGAGGCUGAGUCAUCAGAUGCAAUCAUUAUAGGUACUAUUCUGGUUUGUGAUAGAGAUGCUUCAGCACUAUUGGAUCCAGGGUCUACGUGUUUGUAUGUGUCAUCUUAUUUUGCACCGUACUUGGUCAUGCCUAGUAAUUCAUAAAGUAUACAUGUUUAUGUGUCUACACCGGUGGGUGAUUUUAUUAUGGUAGAUUGAGUUCAUCGUUCUUGUGUUGUGGUGAUUGGAGGUGUUGAGACCCGUGUUGAUUUGUUGCUUUUAGACAUGGUUGAUUUCGAUGUUAUAUUGGGGAUGGAUUAGUUGUCCCCAUAUCAUGCUAUCUUGGAUUUCCAUGCCAAGACCGUGACCUUAGCCUUAUCGAUUUACCCGUUUAGAGUGGAGAGGGACUCCUGGUCAUUCUACUCACAGUGUUAUCUCGUAUGUGAAGGCUCGACGUAUGGUCGAGAAGUUUGGCUUAUUUGGCGUAUGUUCGUGAUUCUAGCGCGGAGGUUCCUUCUAUUGAUUUUGUAUUUGUGGUUCGGGAGUUUCCCCGGGUUUUCCCUUCAGACCUACCAGUUAUGCCACCCAACAGGGACAUCGACUUCUGUAUUGAUUUGGCUCCGGGCACUCAGCUCAUUUCUAUCCCACCAUAUCGCAUGGCCCCGUCAGAGUUGAAAGAGUUAAAGGAGCAGUUGCAGGAGUUGCUUGAGAAGGGUUUCAUUAGAUCCAGCGUUUUGCCUUGGGGUGCACCGGUGUUGUUUGUGAAGAAAAAUAAUGGUUCGAUGAGAAUGUGCAUUGAUUACCGGCAAUUAAACAAGGUGACAAUCAAUAAUAAGUAUCUACUGCCGAGGAUUGAUGAUUUGUUCGACCAGCUUCAGGGUGCCAAGGUAUUUUCAAAGAUAGACUUGAGAUCUGGCUACCAUUAGUUGAGGAUUAGGGCAUCCGAUGUCCCUAUGACAGCUUUCCGCACUCAGUACGGGCAUUAUGAGUUCUUGGUCAUGUCAUUCGGGUUGACCAAUGCCCCAACAACAUUUAUGGAAUUGAUGAACCAAGUGUUCAGGCCUUAUUUGGACUUGUUCGUGAUAGUCUUUAUUGAUGAUAUUCUGAUAUACUCCCGCAACCAGGAGGAGCACGAGCAGCACCUCAGAGUGGUUCUUCAGACUCUGAAUGAUAGUCAGUUAUAUGCUAAUUUCUCGAAGUGUGAGUUCUGGUUGAGUUUAGUUGCAUUCCCUGGUCAUGUUGUAUCAGCAGAGGGUAUUCAGGUUGAUCCAAAGAAUAUUGAGGCAUUCAAGAACUGGCCCCGACCAACAUCAGCUACGGAGAUUCGGAGUUUCUUAUGGUCGGCAGGCUACUAUCGUCAGUUUGUGGAGGGGUUCUCAUCUAUUGCAGCCCCGAUGACCAGGUUGACCCAGAAGGGUGCCUAGUUUAGAUGGUCGGAUGAGUGUGAGGCGAGCUUUCAGAAGCUCAAGACAGUUCUGACUACAGCACCGGUGUCACGACCCAAAAUCCACUAAGGGUCGUGGUGGCGCCGGACACUGCUGUCAGGCCAGCCAACUCAAAUGCUAAAGUAAAUCUCGUUUUAUCACUUUUGAAAAUACAGGAUUUUUCUUUCAUUAUUUAGAAAUUUUUAAAGAAUGAAGUUUCAAAUCAAAUUUAAAAGUUAAGCAAUAAUACAACACUUUAAACCAUCCCAGAACCCGGUGUCACAAGUACAUGAGUAAUUUUCUAAAGGAAACCAAAUAGGGACAACAACUGUCCGGAAUACAAUUGGACAGAAAGUAAAUAAAAUUCUGAAAGAGACUAUACUAGCUGCGGAAUCGCCUCGAAAAAAAAUACAACUCACCUAGUCUCUACGCCCAUCAUGCCGCUAUGCCUCUAAGCCACGAGCCACACAAUAAACUUGUGCAACAAAAUGUACAGCAAGUGUAGCAUGAGUACAAAAAUAACAUGUACCUAAUGAGUGUCCCGCCUAAUCCUGAAGGGGUAGAGACGAGAUGGUCAACUCUGACACUCACUAGCAGUCCAAUGACUAUUUAUCUUUAAUAAAUAUAUUCAAGCAGUAAAUUUGUUUUAUAAACUUGAUUCUAAUCCAGAUAUGGGAAAAUAAGUAGUCAUAUAAUUCUUUCAUGGAAAAUUUUCCUAGAUUUUUUGUUAUUAUUAAUAAAAUGAUUUCGAGCCAUAAUGUGACAUAAAACAACUCAAAUGAGUUCAAGACAACAGCACAAACAUGCGCAAAUCAUGCCGAGGUCGACAACCCGCUCCAACAGAAAUGUAAAGUGUGCACUGCCGAAGGUCGAGCGGCCCGUACCAUAGAUGCAUCCAUUUCACCGAGGCGAUCGGCCUGUUCCAAAAAUAAACACAUAACCUGCUCGCGAAUCAUGCAUGCGACGCAAGUACACAUACGAAUACAUGCUCAAUCAGUCAAAUAAGAGCCUACUGGGGAAUAUUUAUUCAAAUAAAACCAAUUCUCCUUUAACAAAUUUUUAAGAAAUGAAGUUAAAUCCCUUUGAAAUUCAUUUACUAAUUUAAUGUGAUUUAGGCCAUUCAAGCCAUCAAUGGUCUUACAAUUUAUUCAAGUAUGACAUGCUUUUGGGUCCUAGACUACCUGGACAAUAGUAUAUUAGCAGCUACGCACGGAGUCUCGUCACCUCGUGCGUACGUAGCCCCCACAAAUAGGUGCACAUAAUCAAUUUAACUCACCUAUGGGGUAAUUCCCCCUCACAAGAUUAGAAAGGAGACUCACCUCGCCCGAAGAUCCAUAACCGGCCCUCUACAUCCUUCCGAAAGCUCGAACCAACACGAAAAUGCUCCAAAACUAGCCAAUGGUCAUUCAAACCCAUUAAUAUAUGCUUAAUUAAACUCUACAACUCAAUUUGUAAAUUCUUAACCCCGAACGAAAAGUUGACAAAAAUGCCCUCGGGCCCACGUGCCCGGAAUCCGAAAUUUUUCGAAGAUAAACUUUGCCCAUGACUUUAGGAACUCAAAUAUAUAAUUUUCUCUUAAUUUCCUACUCAAAAUCGUGGUCAAAAUCCAAGAAUAUAAUUUUCUAGGUUUUCUACCAAAGCCUCAAUUUUUAUACUAAUUUUUAUGCCCAAAUCCACACAAAAUUGAUAUGUUUAAGUCAAAAUGGGUGGGGAUAACUUACCUCAAUUAUUGACGAUAAAAAUCCCCUCUUGAAGCUCCCCAAAAAUCGCCCAAGUCAUGAAAAUAUGAGAGAAAUGAGCCAAAAUCCGAUUUUUAAAACAACCCCUCUUCCCCAGCUCUUUCCGCUUCUACGGAAUUAUUUCCACCUAUGUGGUUCCGCUUUUGCGGUCAAAAAUGCCGCUUCUGCGGUCCUGGGCUACAGCCCCUCUUCCGCUUCUGCGACUCGCCAACCGCAGGUGCGGUUCCGCUUAUGCGACUACCCGACCGCAUUUGCGGUCCCCUUCACUAUUGGCCAAAACCGCUUCUGCGGUCCAUAUUUCGCCUUUGCGGGGCCGCUUAUGUGGUCCCAUUUCCGCAGAAGCGGAAAUACCAGAUACCAGCUCCCAAGUUUUUCAAAAAAUCUAACUUUCGAUCCGUUAACCACCCGGAAUCCACACGAGGCCCCCGGGACCCCAACCAAUCAUACCAACCAGUCCCAAAACACAUUACGGACUUGCUUGAGGCCUCAAAUCAUAUCAAACAAUGCUAAAACCACGAAUCGACCUCCAAUUCAAGCCUUAUGAACUUUGAAAUUUCCAACUUCUACUUCCGAUGCCGAAACCUAUCAAAUUACAUCCGAUUGACUUUAAAUUUUGCACGCAAGUCAUAUUCGACAUUACGGACCUACUCCAACUUUAGGAAUCAGAUUCUGACCCCGAUAUCAAAAAGUCCACUUGCGGUCAAACUUCUCAAAAACCCUCAAAUUUCUAGCUUUAGCCAAACGACUUCAAAAUGACCUACGGACCUCCGAAUUCACUUCCGAUCGCGCUCCCAACUCCAGAAUCACCAUACGGAGCUACUCUCAGUCCCGGAGUUCCAAACGUACAUCGAUAACGCUGAAAUGCAAUUCAAGGCAAACUUAUGAAAUUUCUUCCAAAAUGCUAACUUCCACAAUAGGUGCCAAAACGCUCCCGAGUUAUCCAAAAUCCGAACCGGGCAUACGCCCAAGUCCGAUAUCAUUAUACGAACCUGCUGGAACCUUCAAAUCCUGAUUCCGAGGUUUUUUACUCAAAAAUCCAAUCCUAGUUCAUUCUUUCAACUUUAACCUUCUGAAAUGAGAAUUCUCAUUUAAAUUUAAUUCUGAUUUUCUGAAUUCCAAUUCUGACCAUGCGAACAAGUCACAAUACCUAAAAUGAAGCUGCUCAUGGCCUCAGACUGCUGAACGACGCGCUAAGGCUCAAAACGACCGGUCGGGUCGUUACAUUCUCUCCCACUUAAACAUAUGUUCGUCCUCGAACGUGCUGAGAACUAUACCGAAGUAGUAUGAAAUCACUAUUUAGCACCUUAUGUCCCCCUUUCGUGCUACCACAACUUAGCUGAGCACAUUAGCUCGAUAUAUUCUGAAGAUACUCCUUUUAUUCAAGCAAAUAGGUCUUAGAGCUCAAUUCCAACAUCCGAAAUUCUAUACCAGGCCUAUUUUCAUCAGGAGAUCACCAAAUCAUUCACCAAACGCUGUCCUCAAACAUGACUGCCUAACUUUGCUGGAUUCUUACUUUGCAACACAAAAUCCACAGGACCACGAUAAUAUUUUUAUGAUCAACUUAGCCAAAAUUCAACGAAUCAGAUGCUCUCAUUGCACCUCAUGACCUACAUAGGUCUUGUUCUAAUUUUUACAACACUGACACGACGGAAGAGAUGUGCCGAAAUUCAUAACCAACUGCUGAAUCAACAAAUCAUUGGGUCUAUACCUCUGACAUAACCAUUACCAUAUUCUGAACCAAAUAAGGAUCUAUGCCCUUUAAUAUACUUCAUGUACUCAGAUUGCACUGAUCAUAAAUCCAUAAUCUCAUCUCACCCAGUACGAACUGCUCAGGCAAUAAGCCACCUCAGACACAAUCAAGAGUCCCAUUUGAUGCCACAAUGUGCCAAUAGGCUACCGAUUAGGAUAUGAUACAAGAGGAAUACGAAUCUGAAACGGACAUCUAAUAACCCCGCCCGCGAAUCAUACGUGCGACGCGGGCUAACAACUUAUACGAGUUUUCCUCAGAAAAUGGGAAACAGAACACAUAGAAGAAAUUAGGGGGAACUGUACUAAUCAUCAUAUUGCUGCGGCGUGCAACCCGAUCCGAACAUCAUAACCAUGGUGGCGUGCCACCAGAUCCACACAUCAUAACUAUGGCGGCGCGCCACCCGAUCCAAAUAACAUACCCAUGGCGACGUGCCACCCGAUCCAUAUACAGGCUCACAUAAGGAGGUAUACAUUGAGCUAAAUAGCGCAUCACAUAAAAAUACCAAAUAUUGGUCGUAGACACGCUAAGGUGUAUAAUACCAUCCCUGAGGACACAUAUAGCGCUAUAGGAUACAAAACUCAAGUACAACUGAGGUGCGAUACAUGAUCUAAAUCUCAAGAGCCAUUCUGCUCAUAUAACAUCAUCGUUGCGCUGGACCUCAACACAUGAGAAAUUUACCAAGCCGUCUCACAACUCAUACUGUGCAAUAUAUCGCUAUCUGAAAUAGCUGACCAUGAAAUAACACCGCGACUACUCUUCCAUAAAGAGCGCAUUGCAAAAAUGAACACAACUGGCCUGAUGUGAGGCUCACUUUCACAUUCAAAUCAACCCACCGACCUCAAGUCGAUCCUGAUCAUGCCAAACUAGGCCAUCAACCUUUCAAAGGUCCAUGCUAACUUCUCUCUCUCAUAACACACAAGAAUAUCCAUCACAACUGGAGCGAACCUCCACAGUCCAUAAUUCAAUAAAAGAGUGCCCUCCAGGCAUAAAUUCUCAAAUUGAUAAUGUUACCAAAAUCCUCAUACUUGGUCUAAAUCUCUAAUCAAUCAAGUGACUACACGUAACACUCAUAAAAUCUUUCGGUGGGACACAAUCCCGCAACCUUCCGAAAUAAAUAAUGGGUCUGCACAUCCGAACCGUCGGCCGCACUGACGCUAAAAAGCGAUCAAGAAUCCUUAACCAGGAUGCAAGGCCUUACUCCCAAAACACCGAUCUCAGGUGAUACUGAAGACAAUACCAACUUACUCAAAACACUGGGACUCCUUUCCUGCUCAUCCGAGCUCGUGACAUCCUAGUCAUUACCAAACUGCACCCUUGGUCCUUACUUCAAAUUCCAUACCACUCAUUGCACCUCACGUGCCUAUAUAUGAUAGACACGAUUUCCAUCACAACUCUGGAACUAUUGAUAGACUAACACUUCAUCGUAUAAAACUUUUCAUUUAACCCACUUCGGGAGAACUAUAGCAACAUACAGGCGAAUUCUCAUAACCAAUGAAUAUGCCAAUCUCUAAGUAGUGGUCCAAGCCACCAUAACCCUUCCGGGAUCCGCCUACUCAUAACAGGCCAUAACAGAAGAAUGCUUCUGAAUAACAUCAAUUACUGUGGUCGACAAACAUCACACGCACCACCACAAAUCACAUGCAUGACUUGAUCACGCUGGAUGAACUGACCACCACUACUAGUAUAUCAAGUUAACCAUGGCCAAUCAAUCUACUUCCUUCCACUAAAUCCUUGAUUGCCUUAGAAAUAAUACUCCUUCAUUCAACACAUAACGUACUCCAUGUGCACUCAUCCUGAGUGACCUUGAAUCAUGAGACCAUGCUAUCUCGAAUCCCACGAACCAUUUCAUAUCCCUCAAAUGCUACCCGCAAGUCCAAUUAUCAUAGAACAUUCUGGGCACCUUCUCAUAAGCUACUACAAAGCUUGAUUCUUAACCGUACUCAUAGGCUCAAAAUCAUUGGGCACCACACUUUAACUUCCGAAUUCACAAGGACCAUUAUUGAGAGCCACCCGCUCUGACUAGGUCCCGAAUAUAACCCACUCCAUAGAUCUUAUAACACACGAACAAUCUCUCCGCGAAGCACCCGAUGAAAUCACUUCCUCUGAAACUUGCAUCUAUACGAGGCAUAAAUCCAGAACCUUUUCCAAGUCCGAACAUAAGCCAAUAAGGCCAACCAUAGCAUGCCUCCAACCAUUCAUUUGCUCGAAUUACCAAUUAUGGUCUUUUCUCAUAGCUGAAAUAACACAUCGAUAUGCUAAUAACCAGAAAUCACGCAAGUAGCUCAUCAUACAGCCCAAUUAUAAGCGGUGGGACUCUCCCACUUAGCUUGAAGCCAUCAUUUUAUAAUUCCUGAGUUCGCCCGACCUCUUUACCUCUUAGGGGCAUAACCUCGCGCCAUAAAUUAUCAAAAUUUUCGGAAUCUUCCUAUAAAUCCCCAUCUUUCACAUUCUGAAUCAUCAUCCACAUUUGCACGACCGAUCUCAUUGUUGAACGACCAGUAUAAUUCUUUGCAGAAGCUUCGCCAACCAUGCGACCGCUAACAUGCUCACGGGGAAUAACCCACCUAGGGAAAUCACCUCCCGACAUCUUCCCACGCCACUGCACGGGGUACAUUCGCUAUGACUAUAAUAGCCCAUACUUCACAUCAUACUGCAGGCUUCAAUCACAAAUCCCCAAUUCGAUCCAAACUCCCCUUAAGGCGUGUAGUCUUCCUACUACCAAGCCCGUAUGCAACACCCGCCACUCUCCCACUUUGGCGGAACUCAUUUUCUUAAUCGGUCACUCGACCUUGCUUCUCAUACUUGGCCUUUUAGAAAUUUAAACGUCGCCUGACACUUCCCACAUGUCUUUCCUCAUGCUCUGCCGCUCAAUUGUUACUUUAAACAAAAUCUAUCUUCGCGACACUUGAAUCCACCAUUGCCGCUAACUUUAGAACCUUUCCAAAGGUCAUCCUUAUCGAUCCAUCAACAUUAGAAAUUAUGGUUCGAUCUUAAACCACCGCACCAUGUGAUAUCUAACAGUUGUAUCUCCAAUACUAUUUCACAAUAUCCUGCCAUAAGGCGAAUUGUAGCAGAUUAUAAUAUCGACAAACUUAGUACAUUUCAUUAGGGCCACAAUACCCCAUCAUAAUAGAAAGCUCAACCAAGCUUGUAAAUACCGGUCUCAUUACUUCCACCAGCCUAAAUCUGACCAUCCUUAGUCCGACUACAUUUCCCUUGCCAGGAACAAAAUUCUAAAUCCGUUGAUUACACGCUGAGUAAACUUCCCUUCAAUUCAUGCACUGCUCUGACACGUGGGCAAAUAUCCUACCAUCACAACCACACUGCGGAAUAAUAGCUUAUAAGCAUCAUGGCAACCUGUGCCUAGCCUCAAGGCCCUCAGAGUACCGCUACUGAGCCGAAACAAUACGAUAUUCCCCUCUUGAAGCUCCCCAAAAUUCGCCCAAGUCAUGAAAAUAUAGAGAAAUGAGCCAAAAUCCGAUUUUUAAAACAACCCCUCUGCCCCAGAUCUUUCCACUUCUGCAGAAUUAUUUUCGCCUAUGCGGUUCCGCUUUUCCGGUCAAAAAUUCCGCUUCUGCGGUCCUGGGCUCCAGCCCCUCUUCCGCUUCUGCGACUCGCCAACCGCAGGUGCGGUUCCUCUUAUGCGGUUGCCCGACCUCAUGUGCGGUCUCCUUCACUAAUUGCCAAAACUGCUUCUAAGGUCCAUAUUUUGCCUUUGCAGGGCCGCUUCCGCGGUCCCAUUUCCGCAGAAGCGGAAAUACUAGAUACCAGCUCCCAAGUUUUUCCAAAAAUCCAACUUUCAAUCUGUUAACCACCCGGAAUCCACCCGAGGCCCCCGGGAUCCAACCAAUUAUACCAAUCAGUCCAAAAACACAUUACGGACUUGUUCGAGGCCUCAAAUAACAUCAAACAAUGCUAAAACCAUGAAUCGACCUCCAAUUCAAGCCUUAUGAACUUUGAAGUUUCUAACUUCUACUUCCGAUGCCAAAACCUAUCAAAUUACGUCCGAUUGACUUCAAAUUUUGUACGCAAGUCAUAUUUGACAUUACGGACCUACUCCAACUUUUUGAAUUGGAUUCCGACCCCGAUAUCAAAAAGUCCACUUGCGAUCAAACUUCUCAAAAUCCCUCAAAUUUCUAGCUUUAGCCAAACGGCUUCAAAAUGACCUACGAACCUUCGAAUUCACUUCUGACCGCGCUCCCAACUCUAGAAUUACCAUACGGAGCUACUCCCAGUCCCAGAGUUCCAAACAGACAUCAAUAACGCUGAAAUUCACUUCAAGCCAAACUUAUGAAAUUUCUUCCAAAAUGCUAACUUCCAUAAUAGGCGCCAAAAUGCUCCCGGGUUAUCCAAAACCCAAACCGGGCAUACGCCCAAGUCUGAUAUCAUUAUAAGAAUCUGCUGGAACCUUCAGAUCCUGGUUCUGAGGUCGUUUACUCAAAAAUCCAAUCCUAGUUUAUUCUUUCAACUUUAAGCUUCUAAAAUGAGAAUUCUCAUUUAAUUUUAUUCUGAUCUUUCUGAAUUCUGAUUCCGACCAUGCGAACAAGUCACAAUACCUGAAAUGAAGCUGCUCAUGGCCUCAGACUACUGAACGAUGCACUAAGGCUCAAAAUGAUCGGUCGGGUCCUUACAACCGGUGUUGGUUUUGCCCAUAGGUUCAAGGUCUUAUACAGUCUAUUUAAUGCUUCCCAUAUUUGGCUUGGUGCAGUAUUAAUGCAGGAUUCUAGAGUCAUUGCCUAUGCCUUAAGUUAGUUGAAGGUCCACGAGAAGAAUUAUCUGGUUCAUGAUCUAGAGUUGGCAGCCAUUGUUCAUACAUUGAAGAUUUGGAGGCAUUAUCUGUACGGUGUGACAUGUGAGGUGUACACUGAUCACAAGAGUCUUAAGUACUUGUUCAAGCAAAAGGAGUUGAAUUUGAGGCAGAGAAGGUGGUGGGAGUUGUUGAAAGAUUAUGAUGUCACUAUCCUGUAUCACCCGGGGAAGGCCAAUAUGGUGGUCGAUGCUUCUAGUAGGAAGUCAGCCAACAUGGGCAGUCUUGCUUAUAUUCUGGUUAGCCAGAGACCGCUUGCUUUGGAUUUUCAGGCCUUGGCCAAUCGAUUUGUGAGGUUGGAUAUUUCUGAACCUAGUCGGGUGUUAGAUUGUACGGUUUCUCGUUCUUCAUUAUUGGAGCAUAUCCGUGAUCGGUAGUUUGAUGACCCCCAUUUAUUUGUCCUCAGAGACACGGUGCAGCAUGGAGGUGCCAAGCAAGUGACCUUAGACGAGGAUGGAGUUUUGAGAUUGCAGGGGCGAGUUUAUGUGCCCAAUGUUGAUGGGCUUCGAGAGUUGAUCUUAGCGAAGGCCCAUAUUUCCCGGUACUCUAUUCAUCCGGGCGCAGCAAAGCUGUAUCAGGAUUUGCGGCAGCAUUAUUGGUGGCGUAGAAUGAAGAAAGAUAUUGUUGCAUAUGUGACUCGAUGUUUGAACUGUCAGCAGGUUAAGUAUGAGCAUCAAAGGCUGGUGGAUUGUUUCAGGGGAUUGAGCUUCCCGAGUGGAAGUGGGAGAGGAUUACCAUGGAUUUCGUUACUGGACUUCCAUUGACCCGGAAGAAGUUCGAUGCAGUUUGGUUCAUUGUUGAUAGACUGACCAAGUCAGCGCAUUUCAUUCCUGUUGCAGUCUCUCAUUCAUCCAAGAGAUUAGCUGAGGUCUACAUCCGGGAGAUUGUUCGCGUUCAUAGUGUACCGGUAUCUAUUAUUUCGGACCAGAGUACGCAGUUUACCUCGCGUUUUUGGAGAGUAGUUCAGCGAGAGUUGGGCACUCAGGUGGAGUUGAGUACAACAUUUCAUCCCCAGACGGACGGCCAGUCCGAGCGGACUACUCAGAUUUUAGAGGAUAUGCUCCGAGCCUGUGUUAUUAAUUUUGGAGUCUCGUGGGACCAUUUUUUGCCUUUAACAGAGUUUGCCUACAAUAAUAGAUACCAGUCGAGUAUUCAGAUGUCUCCCUAUGAGGCGUUGUAUGGUAGAUGAUGUCGAUUUCCGGUUGGGUAGUUUAAGCCGGGGGAGGCUCGGUUAUUUGGGUACGGAUCUGGUUCAAGAGGCCUUGGACAAUGUCAGGAUUAUUUUGGAUAGGCUUCGCACGGCUUAGUCCAGGCAGAAGAGUUAUGCAGACCGCAAGGUUCGAGAUAUGGCUUUUAUGGUUGGUGAGCGGGUAUUGCUCCGAGUGUCGCCUAUGAAGGACGUGAUGAGAUUCGGGAAGAAGGGCAAGCUUAGCCCUAGGUUUAUUGGUCCAUUUGAGAUUCUCGAUUGAGUGGGGGAGGUGGCUUAUAGACUUGCUUUACCACCUAGCUUAUCAGUCAUGCAUCCAGUGUUUCAUGUGUCUAUGCUCCGGAAGUAUCACGGCGAUCUAUCCCACGUAUUAGAUUUCAGCACUAUCUAGUUGGACAAUUAUCUGUCUUAUGAGGAGGAGCCGGUGGCUAUUCUAGACCGACAUGUUCGUCAGUUGAGGUCGAAAAGUUUUCCUUCUGUGCGUUUUCAAUGGAGAGGUCAGACCCCGAGGCAUCGACCUGGGAGUCUGAGUCUGAUAUGCGGAGCUGUUAUCCUCAUCUGUUUCCAAACUCAGGUACUUAUUUCUUCUGUCCAUUCGAGGACGAACGAUUGUUUUAGAGGUGGAGAAUGUACUAUUUUCUUAUCUAUUCCAUACUUACGAGGCCUUGAAAACCUCAUUUAUAGUCGCCUUGAUUUGCGUACGCAAUCCAGGCGCGUAGCCGGAAAAGCUUAAAUGUGAAAUAUUGCGAAAAAAGCUAAAAUUUUCGGUCAACAUUUUGGGUAAAUGGACCCGGACCCAUAAUUUGAUGGUCCCGGAGGGUCCGUAGGAAAAUAUGGGACUUGGGAGUAUGCCCGAAAUUGAAUUCCGAGGUCCCAAGCCCGAGAAAUGAUUUUUUGAGUAAAAUUAUUUUUCUGAAAUUAUUAAGGAAAACUGAAAUGAAAAUUGUUUAGAACGUGUUGGUAUCGGGCCCGUAUUUUUGUUCCGGCUCACGGUACAGGUCUUAUAUGUGAGUUAAGAUGUUUCUAUAAAGUUUGAUUGAAAUCGGACGUCGUUUGACGUGUUUCAAACUUAAAGUUCUAAAUUUGAAAGUUAAUGAACUUUGAGGAAAAACUAUUGAUUUUGAGGUUUGAUUCAUUGUUUUUGAUGUUAUUUUGGCGAUUUGAUUGCACGGUUAAUUUCGUAGGAUGUUGUUGAGUUAGUGUAUGUGUUUGGUUAGGAGCCCCGAGGGCUUGGGAGUGUUUCGGAGUGGUUUCGAACUCAGAAAAAUAGCAAAAUUGCUUCAGCUAUUGCAGAUCCCAUUUGUUCUUCGCGUUCGCGACGCCUCUUCCGCGUUCUCGAAGCUUUAAUUUUUCCUUUAUCGCAUUCGCAUCCCUUCCUCACGAACGCGUAGGGUUAUUUGACCCUGAGGGCUUAGCCCUCUUUUCAUCUUCGCGUUCGCAUACCUAUGACCGCGUUCGAGUAGCUUACUAGACUUCUUCAUCGCGUUUGUGUGAAGUCCCACGCGUUCGCAUUAGCCAAUUCCGGACCCCCACAGCCUUUAACUCUCCGCAUUCGCAUUCCUCAGCUGGCAAACGCGAUGUUCUGUUAAGUCUACCCUUCUCGAACGCAACCAACCUGUCAUAAACACGAAGGGCAAUUUUGCCCAGUUAUUUAAAAGUUCCAAAAAAUAGAAUAGUGACGGGAUUUCAUUAAGUUUUCACGAACUCCUUCUUCUCCAAGGUCCUUAGGCGUCCAUUGAAGCAUUUCUUCACCAAAACUUCUUGGGUUAGUAAAUCUUAACUUGUUCUCUUUAUUUUCCAUCAAUAUCUAUUGAAUUCCUAAGCCUAAAUCAUGUAAUUUAUGGUAGAAAUUGGUGAUUUGGGUAGAGUUAGGACUUUUUGAUUUUCUUGAUUUAGACCUCGUUUUGGGGUCGAAUUUGAAAAAAUAUUAUAUAUUUGGGCUCGUGGGAGAAUGGGUAUUAUGAAUUGGUCCGAACCUCGUAUUUCGACCAAGAGGGCCCGGGAUCGAUUUUGGGAUUUUGGGAAGAAUGUUUGGAAAGCUAUAAUUAGACAUUGGAUUUGAUUUGUUUAGAUUUUAUUGAUAUAUUGAAGUCAUUAUUGUAUAGAUUUGAUUGAUUUGGAGCCGAAUUCGAGAGGGAAAGUGUGACAACCCGACUCGUCGUCUCAUGUGUUUCCGUCCCGUUUUCCCCGUUUAUUGCUUCUUCAUAAUUAAUUAUACGUUUUUGGUGAAUUUGAAGUGAUUCGGAUAGAAUUUGGUUGGAAAUGAGACAAUUAGUCUCUUUAGGGAAAGUUCAGUUUGGAAUAGUCAACCGGAUGUUGACUUGUGAGUUAGAGGGCUCGGAAUGGAUUUUCGAUGAUCCGGUUAGUUUCAGGGGAUCAUUUAAGGCUUAAGAGAGCAAUCAAAAGUAAUUUUGGAGGCUCGGUGUAGAAUUAGGCUUGAAUUGGCUAAGUUAGCAUUUUGGUGAUAUCCGGUUGAUAGGUGAGAUUUUGAUCCGAGGGUCGGAAUAGAAUUCCGAGAGUUGCAGUAGCUUCGUUGGGUGGUUUAUGAUGUCUGUGCAAAAUUUCAAAUGAAUCGGAGGUGUUUAGGUUAGGGUUUUGAUCGAAUGUGAGUUUCAGAAGAAUUCGAUAAACUUAGGCUUUGAUUUGGUGAAAGUUGAGAAUUUCGGUGUUAACGAUAGUGUUUUGAUGGUUCGAGCAAGUUUGAAUAAGGUAAUAGAUCAUCUCUGUGCAUUUGGUUGAGGUAACGGGGGCCUCGGGAUGAAAUCGGGUGGUUAAACGGAGAGUUUGGAGUUUAUUGCAUGAUUUAAGGUUGCUGGUUCUGUCAUUUCCGCAUAUGCGGAAAAGGGACCACAUAGGCGGUUCCACAGAUGCGGCUUGGUGGUCGCACAAGCGGUCCUGAGGGCCUGGGCAAUUUCCGCAGAAGCGGAGGGGUUUCCGCAAAAGCGGAGGUCGCAGAUGCGAAUUUGGACCGCAGAAGCGGUCUAGGCAUUUUGGGAGAAACUGCAGAAGCGGUUGAGAACUGCAAAAGCGGUGACCGCAUAAGCGGUAAUUAUACCGCAGAUGCGAAAAGGCCUGGGCAGAUUUAAGUUAAGUCUUCUUCGCGAAUUUUGAAAGAACAAACAUUUUGGACUUCGAACCAAAAGGGUUUUGGGCAAUUUUUGAAGAGGGUUUCAAGGGCUAUCAUCAGGUAUGGAUUCUUGGAAUUAAAUUAUGAUAUUAUGGUGUAUAAACAUGGAUUAAAACUGAAAACCCAAGGAAUUAAAGGGUAAAAAUUGAGGUUAGGGUUUGAAACUUAAGAGAGCUUAAAUUGAUGAUUUGAGGGGUCAAAUGGACUCCGAUUCUUAUGAACUUGAUAUGUAUAGACACGUGGUGAGAUAAGGAUCGUUUUGGUGUAAACUUUUUUGGAUUUCAAGAUGUGGGCUCGGGGCUCAGGUUUUGCUAAUUUCGCGAUUUUUGAUAUUUUUCGAGUCUUUUCGAUUGGGUUGUAUUCCCUUAGCCUAUUGUAAUGUAUUCAUUGUGGUUUUGUCUAGAUUCGACGCGCGAGGAGGUUGAUUUGAGAGGAAAGGGCAUUGCGGGCUAGUCUUCGGCCUGCUAUAAGUGAGUAAUGCUUGUAAAUGCUGUUCUGAGGGUUUGAAACCCCGGACUUUCACAUCGUAACGCUAUAUUGAGGUGUGACAUGCACUCCAUGACGAGCGCGGGGUCAGUUACUAUUAGGGAUUUGUGACUUGGUCCAUCCUAAGUGAGAUUUACACUAUAUUGGUGAUUGAUACACAAUACUGUACUGAUAUUAUUUGGGCUUGUUGCCAUGUUUGGGGCCUCGUGCCGACUAUUAGAAUGCUUCGGGGAUUGAUAUUGUUGAUUCUGCAUAUGCUUGCAUAUCAUUCGGCUCAGUCCACAGCCUUAAAACACUAUUUUUUGCAAACUCAGCCAUAUUUCCUAAGUUUUGAAACUCAAAUGAUAUUUUAAAUGAUAUUCCGGGCGGAGAACUACUGUUUUAUAAAUGCCCAUGUGGCUUAUGAUGAUUUCUGGAUUGUGCAUAGAUCGGGCUGCGCGCCGCGGCAGUAUUAUACUGAGAUGAGCAUGGAUCGGGCUGCGCGCCGCAGCAGUGUAUAUAUAUAUUGGAUCGGACCGCACGCCGCAGUAACAUUGCACUUGGGCUGUAGGAGCCCCUCCGGAGUCUGUACACACCCCCAGUGAGCGCCGUGGACGAUAAAUAAAUGGAUCGGGCUGCACGCUGCAGUGGGUACUGGAUUGUACCAUCAUAUGCAUUGCAUUGCAUUCAUACAUUUGCACAUUUACUUGAUGUUCAGCUGUUAAGUUUCACCUGUCACUGAAUCAUUGGAUUUUAGCUUAUCUUGUGUAUUUCUGUGUUUUCCUAUCUUCGGACUGUAUUUACUUUUAUUACUCACUAGUUCGGAGUACUCACUCUACUACAUGCACCUUGUGUGCAGAUCCAGAGCAGUCUCAGGCUAAGUAGAUCCACCAGUUCAGCAGAUACAGCUUUCCGGGAGCGACAAGGUAGUUGCACGGCAUUUGCAGCCAUUGUCUUUCUCCUUUCCAUCCUUAUCUCUUAUUUUUCGCACUUUUAGCUUAGACAAACUUUGUAUUGGUACGACAAUAUGUAUUCUAGAGGCUCUGAUUUGUGACACCAGGUCCUAGUGGGACUAUUUCAUAUAUUUUGUUAUUUCCGUACUUUUCAGUAAAUUCAGACUCCUAUUAUAUUGUGUUAUUGCUUCUGAAAUCUAUCUAAGUUUGUGGGAAUUGUGGUAACAAGGUCGGGCUUGCCUAGUAGUGUGCUGGGCGCCAUCACGACCGGGUUGGGGUCGUGACAAGUUGGUAUCAGAGCCUAGGUUACUUGGUCUCGCGAGUCAUGAGCCAAUUUAGUAGAGUCUCGCGGAUCGGUACGUAAACGUCUGUACCUAUCCUCGGGAGGCUGCAGAACCUCUAGGAAAAGCUUCACAUUUUUGAAAUUCUUAUCGUGCGACUUUGUUGAUUCGAGAACUAAAUUUUGUUAUUCUAUUCUCUCGUAGAUGGCGAGAACAUGCGCUACCGGAGGAGACGGACAAACACCAGUACCACCUGCUGCGGGAAUCAGAGACCGUGGACGCGGUCGUGGUUGAGGUCGUGGUCGAGGCAGAGCUGCCGGGGCAGCACCUGGCGAUCCACCAGUUUCCCCGGCUCUGGAUCAGGCCCUAGGUGGAGAAACUCCAGCAGCACCUGCUCAGGCACCAGCUGUGCCUAUUGUGGUUCCAGGUCUUCAGGAGGCCCCAGCUUAGAUCUAUCAGUUUGCACUGUCCUGGCUCAGGCAGUCUCAGCUACUACUAGGGUAGCUACUUUGCAAGCCGGGGAGGCAAUCAGACCCCUGCUGCUCGCACACCUGAGCAGGGAGUGCAGGGUUUGUAGACACCAGAGGCACCACCAGUUCAGCAGGUUGCCCCAGUUCAGCCGGUUUCCCCAGUUCAGGAUUUUGUGGUUCCAGCUAUGCCAGACGAUGAGUUGCGUUGUUUUGAGAGGUUCAGUAGGCUUUCACCUCCUACUUUCGGUGGUGCUCAGGGCGAGGAUGCUCAGGGUUUUCUCGACAAGUGUCGACGUAUGCUUCGGACAGCGGGGAUCUUGGAGUCGAGCGGGGUAUCAUUUACUAUUUUUCAGUUUUCUGGAGCAGCCUUCACUUGGUGGGAGGCAUAUGAGCGGUGUAGGCCAGUGGGUGUAGCGCCUUUGUCAUGGCAGGAGUUCUCCACUCUCUUCCUGGAGAAGUGUGUACCGCGGUCUCAGAGGGAGGAGCUGCGUAGACAGUUUGAGUACCUUCGUCAAGGAGAUAUGACUGUGACACAAUAUGAGGUGAGAUUUUUGGAGUUGGCUCGAUAUGCUCCAUGGAUGGUCCCGACUGAUCGGGAGAGGAUUCGGAGGUUUGUGGAUGGGCUCAUCUAUCCCAUCUGUAUUCUGAUGACCCAAGAGAGGGUUCUGAGUCAUACCUUUGAGGAUGCAGUGGAUAUUGCUCGUGAUAUUGAGACAGCUCGCCUUCAGGUGAGAGAGGAGAGGGAGGCCAAGAGGCCUCGAGGAUCGGGUAGCUUCAGUGGUACUCCAUCUAGGGGUCGGGUUCAACAGAGCAUAGGUCGUUCUUUCAGGCCUCAUCAAUUGGUUUCGUCCCGAGUAUCGUGGGGCAUCUUCAGGCCGUGGUCAUCAGGGGUCCCAGCAGGGCCAGUCUUCAAUGAGUGCCCUCCCAGCACAGAGUUCAUCAUAUGCUCUUUAGCUCAGGGUUCUUCUGUGCUGAGUGUAUCGGCUGGUCAUUCUAGUGCGAUGGGUUCCCUUCAGUCCCCUGCUCCAACACCUGGUAGUUUCUACAAGUGUGGAGAGUUUGGUCACAUGAGGAGGGAGUGUCCUCGGUGGCGUGGUAGUCAGUCUCAGCAGAGGGAUCAGCCCUCAUCUUCCGCUUCUGUUUCAUCAGCACCCACUCAGUCAGCUAGGGGUGGAGUCCAGGUAGCCAGAGGUGGCCCUAGGGGUGGGGGUCGGACUGGCGGUGGUCAAGCUCGAUUCUAUGCUCUUCCAGAUAGGAGGGACGCCAUUGCUUCAGAUGUUGUUAUCACAUGUAUUAUUUCAGUCUGCCACAGAGAUGCCUCUGUCUUAUUUGAUCCCGGUUCUACCUAUUCUUAUGUGUCAUCAUAUUUUUCUCAUCAUUUGGGUAUGACCCGAGGGUGUCUUGCUUUACUUGUGCACGUAUCUACCCCGGUGGGCGAUACUAUUGUUGUGGACCAUGUGUAUCGGUCCUAUCUUGUUACUAUUGGGGGUCUUGAGACCCGAGUUGAUUUAUUGCUUUUGAGCAUGGUAGACUUUGAUGUUAUUCUGGGCAUGGACUGGUUUUCUCUGUGUCAUACUAUUCUAGACUGUCAUGCAAAGACAGUCACCUUAGCUAUGCCGGGUGUUCCGAGGAUCGAGUAGCGUGGUAUGACUGACUAUGUCCCUAGUAGGGUUAUAUCUUUAUUGAAAGCCCGGUGUAUGGUUGGGAAGGGUUGUCUGUCAUAUUUGGCUUUCGUGCGUAAUGUGGAGCUGAGGAUCCCAGUAUAGAUUAUGUUCCCGUUGUGAGGGAUUUCCCUGAUGUAUUUCCUGCAGACCUAGCGGGUAUGCCCCCAGACAGGGACAUUAAUUUUGGUAUUGACCUGGUGCCAGGAACCAAGCCUAUUUCCAUUCCGCCGUAUCGUAUGGCACCAGCGGGGUUAAAAGAAUUGAAGGAUCAGCUCCAGGAACUCCUAGAAAAGGGGUUUAUUCGGCCGAGUGUGUCACCGUGGGUUGCACAUGUGUUAUUGGUGAAGAAGAAAGAUGGUACAAUGAGAAUGUGCAUUGACUACAAGCAGUUGAACAAAGUAACAGUGAAGAACAAGUAUCCCUUGCCUCGCAUCGAUGAUUUAUUCGACCAGCUUCAGGGAGUGAGGGUGUUUUCUAAGAUUGAUCUUCGUUCGAGCUAUCACUAUUUGAAGAUCAAGGAGUCGGAUAUUCUUAAGACUGCCUUCAGGACUAGGUAUGGUCACUAUGAGUUUCUGGUUAUGUCUUUCGGGCUGACCAAUGCCCCAACAGCAUUCAUGCAUCUGAUGAAUAGUGUAUUUCGGUCGUAUCUGGAUUCGUUUGUUAUUGUGUUCAUUGAUGAUAUUCUGGUAUACUCGCAUAGCUAGGAGGAGCACGUAGAGCAUUUGCGAGUGGUAUUACAGAGAUUGAGGGAGGAGAAGUUGUAUUCCAAGUUCUCCAAGUGUGAGUUCUGGCUCGGUUCCGUGGCCUUCUUGGGACACGUAGUGUCCAUUGAUGGUAUUCAGGUUGAUCCAAAGAAGAUUGAGGCGGUUCAGAGUUGGCCUAGACCAUCCUCGGCCACAGAGAUUUGUAGCUUCCUCGGUUUGGCGGGUUAUUAUCGCCGAUUCGUUCAGGGUUUUUCAUCUAUUGCCUCAUCCUUGACCAAGUUGACGCAGAAGGGUGCACCGUUUGUAUGGUCGGAUGAGUGCGAGGAGAGCUUUCAGAAGCUCAAGGCAGCUUUAACCACACUCUAGUGUUAGUCUUGCCGUCAGCUUCAUGUUCUUACACCGUUUAUUGUGAUUCUUCGAGAGUCGUGAUUGGCUGUGUAUUGAUGCAGGAGGGUAGAGUUAUUGCUUAUGCUUCUAGGCAGUUGAAUCCCCAUGAGAAGAACUACCCUGCUCAUGACUUAGAGUUGGCUGCCAUAGUUAAUACAUUGAAGAUUUGGAGGCACUAUUUAUAUGGAGUAUCUUGUGAGGUAUUCACCAAUCAUCGCAGUCUUCAGCAUUUGUUCAAGCAGAAAGAUCUUAAUUUGAGGCAGCGGGGGUGGCUUGAGUUACUUAAGGACUAUGAUAUUACCAUUUUGUAUCAUUCGGGAAAGGCCAAUGUACUGGCCGAUGCUUUGACCCGAAAGGCGGUUAGUAUGGGGAGUUUGGCGUACAUCCCAGUCGAGGAGAGGCCCUUUGCAGUUGAUGUUCAGGCUUUGGCCAAUCGGUUAGAUCGAUUAGAUAUUUCAGAGCCAAGUCGGGUAUUGGCUUGCGUGGUUUCUCUGUCUUCUUUAUAUGAUCGCAUCAGAGAGUGCCAGUAUGAUGAUCCACAUUUGCUUGUCCUCAAGGAUAGAGUUCGGCACGGAGAUGCUAGAGAUGUGACUAUAGGUGAUGAUGGUGUGUUGAGGAUGCAGGGCCGGAUUUGUGUGCCCAAUGUGGAUGGGCUUAGAGAUUUGAUACUUGAGGAGGCCCACAGCUCGCGGCAUUCCAUCCAUCCGGAUGCCGCGAAGAUGUACCAGGACUUGAGACAGCAUUACUUGUGGAGGAGAAUGAAGAAAUACAUUGUAGUAUUUGUGGCUCGGUGUCUCAAUUGUCAGCAGGUGAAAUAUGAGCAUCAGAGACCGGGCGGCUUGCUUCAGCAGAUGGUUAUUCCUGAGUGGAAAUGGGAGAGAGUUACUAUGGGUUUCGUGAGUGGUCUUCCAAGGACUUUGAAGAAGUUCGAUUCGAUUUGGGUCAUUGUGGAUCGACUGACCAAGUCCGCGCAUUUCAUUCCAGUGUGUACCACAUAUUCUUCAGAGCGGCUGGCAGGGAUCUUUAUUCGAGAGAUCGUUCGGUUGCAUGGUGUUCCGGUUUCUAUUGUAUCGGAUAGAGGUACUCAGUUCACUUCUCAGUUUUGGAGGACUUUUCAGCCCGAGUUGGGUACUCAGGUGGAGCUGAGUUCAGCAUUUCAUCCUCAGACGGACGGAUAGUCCGAGCGUACCAUUCAGAUAUUGGAGGAUAUGUUACGUGCCUGUGUGGUUGAUUUCAGAGGUUCUUGGGAUGAGUUUUUACCUCUUGCAGAGUUUUCCUACAACAAUAACUAUUAGUCUAGUAUUCAGAUGGCACCGUAUGAGGCCUUGUAUGGUAGGCGGUGUAGAUCUCCAGUCGGUUGGUUCGAGCCCGGCGAGGCUAGGUUGUUGGGGAUAGAUUUGGUCCAGGAUGCCUUAGAGAAGGUGAAGGUGAUUCAGGAGAGACUUCAUACAGCUCAGUCGCGUCAGAAGAGUUAUGCGGACCGAAAGGUUCGAUAUGUAUCUUACUCGGUGGGUGAGAAGGUCUUGCUGAAGGUUUCACUCGUGAAGGGUGUGAUGAAGUUUGGAAAGAAAGGGAAGCUGAGUCUGUUGUUCAUCGGACCUUUUGAGGUGCUUAGGAGGAUUGGGGAGGUGGCCUAUAUGCUUGCUUUGCCCCCCAGCUUGUCGGGCGUUCAUCCGGUAUUCCAUGCUUCUAUGCUCCGGAAGUAUGUUGGGGACCCGUCUCAUGUUUUGGAUUUAAUCACGGUUCAGUUGGAUGAUGAUUAGACUUAUGAUGUGGAGCCAAUUGCUAUUUUGGGUCGUCAGGUUCGGAAAUUGAGGUCAAAGGAUAUAUAUUCGGUGAAGGUACAGUGGAGAGGUAGGCCCGUGGAGGAGGCUACUUGGGAUACCAAGCAGGAGAUGCGAAGCAGAUACCCACACCUAUUUGGGACUUCAAGUAUGUUUCUUGACCCGCUCGAGGACGAGCAUUUGUUUUAGUUGGGGAGGAUGUGAUGACCCGACCCGUCGUCUCAUGUGUUUCCGUCCUGUUUUCCAUGUUUAUUGCUUUUUCAUGAUUAAUUAUACGUGUUUGGUGAAUUUGAAGUGAUUCGGAUAGAGUUUGGUUGGAAAUGAGACAAUUAGUCUCUUUAGGGAAAGUUUUGUUUGGAAUAGUCAACCGGAUGUUGAAUUUUGAGUUAGAGGGCUCGGAAUGGAUUUUCGAUUAUCCGAUUAGUUUCGGGGGAUGAUUUAAGGCUUAUGAGAGCAAUCGGAAGUAAUUUUGGAGGCUUGGUGUAGAAUUAGGCUUGAAUUGGCUAAGUUAGCAUUUUGGUGAUAUCCGGUUUAUAUGGAGAUUUUGAUCCGAGGGUUGGAAUGGAAUUCCGAGAGUUGCAGUAGCUUCAUUGGGUGAUUUAUGAUGUGUGUGCAAAAUUUCAGUUGAAUCGGAGGUGUUUAGGUCGGGGUUUUGAUUGAAUGUGAGUUUCGGAAGAAUUUGAUAAACUUAGGCUUUGAUUUGGUGAAAGUUAAGGAUUUCGGUGUUAACGAUAGUGUUUUGAUGGGUCAAGCAAGUUUGAAUAAGGUAAUAGAUCAUGUAUGUGAUUUUGGUUUAGGUCCCGGGGGCCUCGGGGUGAAUUCGGGUGGUUAAACGGAGAGUUUGGAGUUUAUUGCAUGAUUUAAGGUUGCUGGUUCUAUCAUUUCCGCAUUUGCGGAAAAGGAACAGCAUAGGCGGUUCCACAAAUGCGGCUUGGUGGUCGCAAAAGCGGUCCUGAGGGCCUGGGCGAUUUCCGCAGAAGCGGAGGGGUUUCCACAAAAGCGGAGGUCGCAGAUGCGAAUUUGGACCGCAGAAGCGGUCUAGGCAUUUUGGGAGAAACUGCAGAAGCGGUUGGAGAACCGCAAAAGCGGUGACCGCAUAAACGGUAAUUAGAGCGCAGAAGCAAAAAGGCUUGGGCAGAUUUAGGUUAAGUCUUCUUCGCAAAUUUUGAAAGAACAAACAUUUUGGACUACGAACCAAAACGGUUUUGGGCGAUUUUUGAAGAGGGUUUCAAGGGCUAUCAUCAGGUAUGGAUUCUUGGAAUUAAAUUAUGAUAUUAUGGUGUAUAAACAUGGAUUAACACUGAAACCCAAGGAAUUAAAGGUUAAAAAUGGAGGUUAGGGCUUGAAACUUAAAAGAGCUUAAAUUGAUGAUUUGAGGGGUCAAAUGGACUCCGAUUCUUGUGAACUUGAUAUGUAUAGACUCGUGGUGAGAUAAGGAUCGUUUUGGUGUAAAAAAAUUUGGAUUUCGAGAAGUGGGCCCGAGGCUCGGGUUUUACUAAUUUCGCGAUUUUCGAUAUUUUUUGAGUCUUUUCGAUUAUGUUAUAUUCCCUUAGCCUAUUGUAAUGUAUUCGUUGUGGUUUUGGCCAGAUUCGACGCGCGAGGAGGUCGAUUUGAGAGGAAAGGGCAUUACGGGCUAGUCUUCAGCCGGCUAGAGGUGAGUAAUACUUGUAAAUGCUGUUUUGAGGGUUUGAAACCUCGGACUUUCACAUCAUAACGCUAUAUUGAGGCGUGACACGCACUCCAUGACGAGCGCAUGGUCGGUUACUAUUGGGGAUUUGUGACUUGGUCCAUCCUGAGUGAGAUUUACACUAUAUUGGUGAUUGAUACACAAUACUGUACUGAUAUUAUUUGGGCUUGUUGCCAUGUCUGGGGCCUCGUGCUGACUUGUAGAAUCCUUCGGGGAUUGAUAUUGUUGAUUCUGCAUACGCUUGCAUAUCAUUUGGCUCAGUCCACAGCCUUAAAACACUGUUUUUUGCAAACUCAACCAUAUUUCCUAAGUUUUGAAACUCAAAUGAUAUUUUAAAUGAUAUUUCGGGCACAGAACUACUGUUUUAUAAAUGCCCAUGUGGCUUAUGAAGAUUUCUGCACUAUGCAUGGAUCGGGUUGCGUGCCGCAGCAGUAUUAUACUGAGAUGAGCAGGGAUCGGGCUACGCGCCGCAACAGUGUAUAUAUAUAUUGGAUUGGACUGCACGCCGCAGUAACAUUGCGCUUGGGCUGUAGGAGCCCCUCCGGAGUCUGUACACACCCCCAGUGAGCGCCGUCGACGAUAAAUAAAUGGAUCGGGCUGCACGUCGCAGUGGGUACUGGAUUGUACCAUCAUAUGCAUUGCAUUGCAUUCAUACAUUUGCACCUUUACUUGCUGUUCAGCUGUUAAGUUUCACCUGUCACUGUAUCAUUGGAUUUUAGCUUAUCUUGUGUAUUUCUGUGUUUUGCUAUCUUCAGACUGUAUUUACUUUUAUUACGCACUGGGUCGGAGUACUCACUUUACUCCCUGCACCUUGUGUGCAGAUCCAGAGCAGUCUCAGGCUAAGUAGAUCCAGCAGUUCAGCAGAUACAGCUUUCCGGGAGCGUCAAGAUAGCUGCACGGCGUUCGCAACCAUUGACUUUCUCCCUUCUAUCCCUAUCUCUUAUUUUUUGCACUUUCAGCUUAGACAGACUUUGUAUUGGUACGACAUUAUGUAUUCUAGAGGCUCAGAUUUGUGGCACCGGGUCCUAGUGGGACUCACUACAAGAAAUCACAUGUAUUGCAGCGACUAAAGUCGCCACAAAACCCACCAAAGUCGCUGCUAAAAGGAAUUAGCGACGACUUUUGUAUUGCCACUGGGGAAGCCGUAACUGAAAGUUAUUUGUGGCGAUGUUUGAUGUUGCCACUAAAAGAUAAUCUUUUGUGGCGACUAAGCUGCCGCAAAAGAUUGGAAAAAACGCUACAAAAAAUUAUUCAAUAAGAACAAAUAUUAGAUGGGUCGCCACUAUAAAUAUCCUUUAGUAGCGACUAAACUUGCCACAAAAAGUAUUUAUAUUUAAUGUAUUUAUAUUUAAUGGCAAGAUUAUGUCGCCACUAUAAGUAUCCUUUAGUGGCGACUAAGCCUACCACAAAAAAUAUUUAUUUUCAGUGGCAAGAUUAUGUCGCCACUAUAACCAUCCUUUAGUAGCGACUAAAAUUGCCACAAAAAAUAAUAUGUUCAGUGGCAAUUAUGUCGCCACUAUAAAUGUCAUUUAGUAGCGACUAAAGUGGCCACAAAUGUUUUGACUAAACUAUGUCGCCACUAAAAGUGAUUUUCUCAACAAUUAUAACGAUCAAAAUUAUAUACAUUUUCAUGCCAGUAGGAACCUAAUUCUCUAAAAUUUCAUAUAGAGAUAUCCAUAUCAAUUAACUAUCAAUAUUAAAGCAACCAAUAAUGCUUGACAAAUACCAAAACAAUUUCUCAAGCCGAAUAUUAUAAAUAUUAUCAUUACUGAAAAGUCAAUUACAUAUAUACUACCCGACACUUCAUUGUGUAUUGUGACUGUACGCAUAUACAUAUCCCCAAAACGAUAAAAUAUUAAGUGCCUUGUAACUGCUCCUUGCCCGACACCAUUGUAACUGCUCCUUGCCCGACACCAUCCUUGAACGAUACCACGGUUUAAGUGUCUUGUCCCUAUUAGACAGACUGAAGAAUCAGAUAAAUGAUAGUUAUAACAGUGGCAGAAUACAUAAAAAAUUAAGUGCAUGUAUUACAACUUCAAACUAAACUAGUAAAAGUAGCUAAGAACUUCAACAACUGGACAAUAAAAAAUACUAAGCUACUAAAACCAGUUAUUGGAUACUAAAAGGCAAGACUUGAAGCUAGAAUUGCCCAAUAUCUCUAAUUCAUAGUUUUCACCCAAAAAAUGUAAAAACAGAACAAAAAGGCAAAAUAUUGAAAGUACUAGUACAAAUCUAUUGGACCAGCUAUGGAGCCAUACUGGAUAUGAAAUGCUUUUCUUAAAGGGAACUAUGUUUAAUUCGAAUAUGGAAAGGUGUUUUCUUAAAUCCUUUACAAAUGCUAUGAUUAGAACUCAUACAUCUUGCCACUAAACAUAUUUAUGUACAGCUGGUUUGGGACAGGGCUGCCAGCUUAACAACAUGUAAAUGUUAAGAGUAAUAUUCAGAUACUUUCUUCAUUUCAUUUCUUUUGUUUUUUAGUUUGAAAACAAAAGUCAAUGUAUCUUGGCAUUAUCCUUGCAAGUGUAGUACCUAGUAUGAAAAUUUGUAAAAGACUUGAUAGGAAUUAUGUUCACAAGACUAAUUCCUACAACUAUAUAUAGCUUAACUAGUACUUAGCAUACUAGUAAUAUAUUUCCUUUGCAUAAACUAAAGUAGGGAAUAGCCACUAGAAGUGCAGCUUUUAAUUUCAACUUAGGAAUCCUUCUCGGUCUUCCUCCUUAUUUUGUAACUUCUGAUUGAUCAAGAAUGAAUAACUCAAAGGACCACAAACAUUUCAAGAUGUGAAGAAGAUGAGACCCAAUUCAAGAGAGUUUAAAGGGAACGAUGCUACAGGGAACGAUGGCCUAAUGAGGGUACACUAAUUCUUAGUAGUUUUUAAGGGGGCAAUGUAGGUCGACAGUAAGAAAGAGAGAAAAAAGCAUACCACAAGACUGAUCACGAACUGGGCAUAAAGUACAAUUAUAUCUGAUGUCCUUUCUAAAUGGUAAUAGCAGAAAAACUGAAAGAGCCUGAUUGACAUCGCAUACCAGCCAGGGAUUAUGGUGUUAAGCCAAAACACAUGCAAGAAAGACAGAAAAAAGCAGACCACAAGACUGAUCAGAUUGCCAAGUUUUGUCACAAGGAAUCAGGAAAUAAAAAAAUAAUUCCACAAUGACACGAAGAGAGUAAAAGGACAGUUAAAUGAGCAAUCAGUGGACUCGUGCUAAACCAAGACAAGCAAGAGGCAGGAAUAAACUUUGCAAGUAACCAUCAUGCUCUCCCUCACAAUCAUAAAAAGACCUGGGGGAACAAUGCAAGAAACAGAGUAUGGAGGCAGUUUGAACUAUGUGGCUAAGAGGAUAAAAUGGUGAAUCAUUCCCUCUACUUAACAAGUACAAGUAUCGGAUAAUUCCGUCCAUCGAGAUUUAGGCAAAUGCAGACAUGACUUGCAGGAUACUUUUGUUUAACAGGUACAAAUCAUUCACAGGUUCAAUUGCAGGAUACUUUUGUUUAACAGAAAUCAAACGGAAAAGGGAAAUAUGAAUUUUAUACAACUGCAUUACAAACAGCCCUAAAAAGAUGUAGCUUAGAAUAGAAUUCUCUCCUUCUAAAUCAAGCAGACAUGACUUGUGGUUGUUUUAAAGAUUCUCAACCAUUAUUUGGCUCACUUAUGCCUGCAUACUCUAUUUACUACCAAAGCAGUUAACCACAAAUAUAAGAAAAAAUACUUGCUGAUGUCUUCAUACUUGUUUGUGGGCUAAUAAAUUGCUUAUCUAUACCAGGCACUCAACAUAUGCAACUGAUUGAGCAUGACACAGAAGGAUAGCAAACGUAGGUAGAUGAUAUAAUACAUAGAUAAUUGUGGUACUGGUAUCUACAAGGGGACAAAGAUAAUGCAGAUAUCUUGGCGUAGUCUAUCGGGGAAUAGGUAGAUGAUAUAAUACAUAGAAUAAAACUAGGUUGGAUGGACUGGAGUGGUGUUACUGGAGUAUACCUAAUGUGAAGAAGGAAAACAAACAGCUAAUUUGAACAGAGAAAUUGUGCAACUAAUUGGUGAAGCAGGAAAAUCACAUGGUGGGCAGCAACAGAUUUUCCUCAAAUGAGUAUAGUAAAAUCAAAUGAAGACGGGAAAGUACUAGUUAAGGAAAAUCUGUUUAGUCACAUAACAGCAACAGAUUUUCCUCAUUUGAUUUUCCUUUGCAUAAACUAAAGUAGGGAAAAUAAAUUGAAACAGUUAUGUGACUCUGUUACUAAAAAAUAAAUUAGUAUGCAUAUGAGUCACAUAACAGAUUCAAUUUAUUUUCCCGUUUCCAAUAAUUAAGGUGAAUACAAUUUAGUUAUUUAAUUUCAGGAAAAAGAUGACUUAGCAUUUAAUAACAGUGAUUAAGCACAGGACUGAGAUCAAUGAUUAUGCAAAUCAUGUUAUCACAAAGAUAUUCAUCCUAGACGGAUGCUACAGAUCGGCACAAGGCCCCAAACAUGGCAAUAAGCCCAAUUAUCAACAAUACAGUGUGCGUAUCAGCCGCCAAUAAUUAUAUUUAGCUCUCGGGAUGGACCAAGUCACAAUCCCCAAUCAUAUACAAUCCCGCACCUGCCAUGGGGUGCGAGUCACGCCCUAACAUAGCGUCACGAUGUGAUAAACCGGGGUUUCAAACCCUCCGGCCAUCAUCUAUACAAACUACUCACCUCUAACCGGCCGUAGACUAGCCCGCGAUGCCCUUUCCUCUUUGAAUCGACCUCCUCACGCGUCGAAUCUAGCCAAAACCACAACGAAUACAUCACAUUACGCUAUAGGAUCAAUACCCAAUCGAAAAUAAUCGAAAAGCAUCAAUAAUUCCGAAAUUGACAAAACCCCAGCCCCGGGCCCGAUUCUCGAAACUCAGAAAUUUUUACAGAAAAGUGUUCUUCAUCUUCUCCCGAUUCCGUACAUAUAAAGAAUACCAAAAUCGGAGUCCGUUUGACCCCUCAAAUCGACCCCUAAAGGUCUCAUAAUCUCAGCCCCAAAAUCCUAUUUUUCUACUGUUUUUCAUGAAUUAAAGGCUGGGAUUAUGGUUUAUAAUCACCUAUAAACGAGUUUUAAUAAUCAAAUAACUUACCUCUGCGAUACCCACUGAUUUUCUCUCUUAAAAAUCGCCUCGGAAGCUUCUUCCCGUUCAAAAAUUGGAAGAAAACUCGACCUGCUCAUUAUAGGUAUACUGUUCACGCGUUUUAGCGCUCCCAAUGAAUUCUUUGUGAAAUUCUAAUGAAUUUAGGCUUUUGCAUCACUCAAUUUGACCUUAUAAUGAAGCACAUAUAUAGGUUUUAAGAUUUGCAAAUAGUGCAGGUUUUUAAUACGCCAUCAGGGGCAAUUUCGUCAUUAACUUGAAAUCUGGGCAACCUUGGUAAAACGGCCAUAAAAUCCUAAUACGAUGUCCAAAUUCGACGAUUCUUUUUGCUACGGGUCCAUAAUUACGAUACGGAUCUAGUGCUUCAUUCAAAACAGUAAUCGGAGCUUAUUUGUUCAAUAUGAUAUCAUUUAUGCCUGAAGAAACGACGUCGAAACAUAAGAAAAACGAGCACAAUGCAGCCCAAACCUAUCCGAAACUCACCCGAACUCCUCGGGACCGCAUACGAACAUACUAAAACAUCACAUAUGAUCAUUCAAACUUAGUUGCACUCUCAAAACACCAAAACUAACAUCAAACAACAAAUUUACAUCGGAUUCAAGCCUAAGUUCUUCUAAAACUUCUGAAACACACAUUUGAUCAAAAACCCAACCAAAUCACCUCCGAAUAACCUGAAAUUUUGCACACACAUUCCAAAUCACCUAACGAAGCUACAACAACUCUCGGAAUUCGAUUCUGACUCCCGGAUCAAAAUCUCACCUAUCAACCAGAGAUCACCAAAAUACUAACUUCGCCAAAAUAGGCUAAUUUCUUCACCGGACCUCCAAAAGUCAUUCCGAUUGCGCUCCUAGGUCUUAAAUCAUCCCCCGAAACUAGUCGAAUCAUCGAAAAUCCAUUCCGAGCCCUCUAACUCACAAGUCAAUAUCCGGUUGACUUUUCCAAACUAAUUCUUCCUUAAAGAGACUAAUUGUCUCAUUUCUAACCAAACUAUAUCCGAAUUACUUCCAAUUCACCAAAUACAUAUAAUGAAACAUAUAGAAGCAUAAGACGGGGAAAUCGGGACGGAAAUACAUGAGACGACGGGUUGGGUCGUCACAGACAUGGUCCUCAACAGUAGUUUUCUAUUCAAAUUAUAAAGGAUUAUGUUCAACUAUUUCCGCGACCCCAAACAAAAGCUGGAAACACAGGUAUUCGACAAAUUUGGAGUAUUCGAAGAUCUUUAUCUUUUCUGCUUCGCAAAUCCAUGGAUUGAGCAGUUAAUAAUCAUAAGACUCAACCAUAAUGAAUCAGUAAUCACUAUGUGUCUAUUGCCAAACUAAUGUUUAUUCAAGAACCAGGUACGAGUCUAUAGGUCAACCAAAUGUCCCAAGGUACCAUGAAAUCGAAAAGCGCAUUGUCUGGUCAUGACCCCACGACAGCAAAGCAAACAUCAUAAAAAUUUAUCCUGGUCACAUUUUUUAGUAGUAAAAUUAAUACUAUACAUUGACAAUGCAAUUUUGAUAUUUAGAUCUGCAACAAUUUCAUUAUUGUACUCUAGUUGAUCAUACAUGUCAUUGUUUGUUGUUAGUUUCUACUGUUUUCAUGCAUUAUCAGUUCCAACAAGUACCAU
rnacentral:lncRNA from 1 species